rnacentral:lncRNA from 1 species
AAAGUUUUUUUUUUUUUUUUUUUUUUUUUUUUUGUAUGGCGGAUUGAAUUUUCUUUAAUGAACAAUUAAUAUUAUUUAGUAGAUUAAUCGAGAAUGAGCCAUUAUUUUAUAGUUUAUAUAUAUCAGUUAUGUUUGUUUUUGGCACUAUCGAGGUAAGUAGAAAAUGUAAAAAAGUUCAAAUGAAAAUGUCGCAGCCGCUGCCUUGGACCAAGAUUUGAUUGGGUCAAAGUCAUGCAGGAUAUUUAUAUAGAACCAAUGCUUUCCCCAAAGCAUCAACCUCAAUGAUUUUUAAGCCUUUUGGGUUUUAGAAGAAGCACUCAAACGAUUCUAACAAUGGCUUCGCCGUUACAAAGUACACGAUACCUCUUAAUUCUUCUCUCCUUUGUCUUCUUCUUACUACAAUCUCAAACUGCAGAAUCAAGAACUCUGAACUAUAAAUGGGAAGUGAAAUCUGAAUUGAAGUCCCCCGAUUGCUUUAAAAAAGUUACCUUGACCAUUAAUGGCCGAUCUCCAGGUCCCACUAUCUACGCCCACCAAGGUGACACCGUCAUCGUUGAGCUCAAGAACAGCCUCUUUACCGAAAACGUGGCUAUCCACUGGCAUGGAAUUCGACAGGUACCCCUAAAUUUUCAUUUCUCUCCAUAUUUUUCUUCGUUAGUUUUAUAGUUCUUCUUUCUGACGUGCUCGUACAUUUGAAGAUCGGAACACCAUGGAGCGAUGGAACAGAAGGUGUCACUCAAUGCCCUAUUUUGCCUGGUGAAACCUUCAGAUAUCAGUUUGUUGUAGACAGAGUAAGAGAUACUUGACUUACUCGUUUUGUUUUGUGUCUCUCAAAAACUCCAUGCUUUAAUUUGAGUUUGACCUUUGUGAAAUUUGAAAUCUGCAGCCAGGAACUUAUCUAUACCAUGCCCAUUAUGGUAUGCAGAGAGAAGAUGGUCUCUAUGGAUCCAUUGUGGUUUGGGUUCCAGAAGGACAAACAGAGCCUUUUUCCUAUGAUCUUGAUCGUAACCUCAUCCUCACAGAUUGGUAUCAUAAAAGCAGCCACGAACACGCCACUGGAUUGGCUACCCCUGGCUCUGGAUUCAACUGGGUGGGAGAGCCUGAUUCACUGUUGAUUCAAGGAAGAGGGAGAUUCAACUGCUCUAUUCUGGGAUCUUCCAGUGGUACCUGCAAUUCAUCGAGCACAGAAUGUGUUCUUCAUCCAUUAACAGUCGUACCGGGAAAAACUUACCGAUUAAGGGUCUCCAGUCUCACUUCUCUUUCAGCUCUCAGUUUCCAAAUUGAGGUAAUUACAAGUUCAUCUACUUGAUUUCAUGUACUCUCCUUGAAAUUCUUCUUAAAUGGCUUAAACUGAUAAACUCUCUGUUUUGGAAACAGGGUCACACCAUGACUGUGGUUGAAGCUGAUGGGCAUUACGUUGAGCCAUUUCAAGUAAACAAUUUGUUCAUUUACUCAGGAGAAACAUAUUCCGUUUUGAUAAAAGCCGAUCAAGACCCUUCUAGAAACUACUGGAUCACAACCAAUGUGGUGAGCCGAUCAAGAACCACCCCCCCUGGAUUAGCCAUUUUCAAUUACUACCCAAAUCACCAGAGUAGACUCCCUCCGACAACUCCUCCAGCACCACCUGCUUGGAACGAUGUUACUCCCCGAUUGGCUCAAAGUCAAGCCAUCAAAGCCCGGCAAGGUUUUAUCCACACGCCGCCCAAAGCCGCCGAUAAAGUGAUCGUGCUUCUCAACACCCAAAACACCGUGAAUGGCCGUCGCCGGUGGUCGUUAAAUAACGUUUCCUUCAAUAUGCCUCAUACCCCAUAUCUUAUUGCUCUAAAGCACAAUCUUCUCCAUACAUUCAGCCAGGAAAAACCACCCACUGGAUACGAUUUCAAGAACUACGACAUUUUUAAUCCGGCGCCCAACCCUGAAGCGACGGUAAGCGACGCCAUAUACCGGUUGGACUUCAAUUCAACUGUGGACAUCAUACUACAGAACGCCAAUAUGAUGAGCCCAAACAACAGCGAAACACAUCCUUGGCAUUUGCACGGACACGAUUUCUGGGUUUUGGGGUACGGAGAAGGGAAAUUCGAUCUUUAUAAGGAUCCAAGCAAGUACAAUUUGGAGAACCCGAUCAUGAAGAACACGGUGCCGUUGCAUCCAUAUGGAUGGACCGCUUUGAGAUUUGUGGCGGAUAAUCCUGGUGUCUGGGCUUUCCACUGUCACAUCGACGCGCAUUUCUUUAUGGGAAUGGGUGUAGUUUUUGAAGAAGGGAUCGAGAGGGUUGGAAAAUUGCCUACUUCCAUUAUGGGAUGCGGGGAGAGCAAGAGGUUCUUGAGACCUUAACUCAUUUCCAUUCCGAUUACUAUUCUUUAGAAAAACACAAAGAAUAUUCUUUUAUGUUUAGCCAAAUUUUUUGUGCUGAUUGAGAGUCACUAUGAGUGUAUAGGUAAAUGUUAUUGCUACUUAAUAAGAAGAAAUCGUAAUAGUUUCUUAAAUGAUUUAAAUAACAAUACCAUUGUUAUGUUGUUUAUUUGGACUACUAUUGGGAUGUUGUGUGUGUGUGACUUUUGUUGAUAUCAACUGCUCCUUUUAUAUAAAAUUUCAGUUAUUCAUUCAAUUAUGACAAUAAAGUUUAUCAUUUUAGAGGUUUAGAUAUCACAUCUCAUUCCACUAAAGAAAAAGUUUUACAAUUCACCUUUGAUUUGUGAACAAUGAUUUAUCAAUUUAGUUCAUUAUUUUGUUCUUUUUACUAAAUAUAUUAUUAAAUGUUAAUAGAACUUUUGACCUGUAGUUAUAGUUAACAAGUGCAUUGAAAACCAAAUUUUUGUUUUUAUAAACUAUAAAGACUACACAUUCAUACGUUUAAGAUUUCACUUAAUUUUGAAAAGAAAUUUUUAUGUAUUUAAUGCCAUAAUUAAAAUUUGAGCCUAAAAAGCGUUAAGGCUUAAACUUCACAUACUAAAUUAUGAGUUCAAUGUUGGAAGCCUUUUUUAAAAUAAAAAAGUUGACCAAAAGAAUAUGACUAAUUUAAAAGAAGUAGAAGAAAACAAUUGGAUGUUUAAUUUAUAUGUAUUUUCAUAUUGAAGUGCAAUUUGCAAAACGUAACUUAAACAGGUUUUUUGCUUCUAAAAGAUGGAAAGUAGUAGGUUUUAAGGAGGGUGACAAUCACAGCCCACAGGAAUGACCAAAUGUUUAAUAUUUAUAAACUAGAGAUGAAAGGCAACAGUAGUGACCAAAUGUUUUAUUUAUUGUUUAUUUCAACUUUAUCCUUUACAGUAAGGGACACUCUUUUCCUAUUUUUUUAUCCUCAAGUUUUUGUAGUAUUAGAUCACUAAUAUUCAUCCCUUUUCAGUAUAUCAUUUGGUCCAAAGUGUAGUAACUCUACCAAUUAAUUGAUAUAUCUAAAUAUCAACCUUUAAUAUUCCACUCUCACAAUUCUCUCUUUUAUUUUUCUUAAUUAUGAUUUUUCUCUUCUUCUAAUUUUAUUUCCACUUCAAUUUCUUUCAUUUUCGCCACAAAUUUGUUAUUUUAUUUUUUCAUUUUCUUUUUAUCUUCUCACAUUUACAUAUUUUCGAUUAUGGAUAUUUCAAUAAUGUUAGUCUUGCUAAACAAUCUUUAAGUAUGUUAGUCGUAUAUCCAUAGUGUAUUAUCAAUUUAAUCCUAAACCAUUAUUUGUUUUUUUUUCCUUCUUAUAUUUUUAACUUAGUCUAACAUCUAACAUGACCAUCUAUAAAUUCAAUUUUGAGGUUGAUUUAAAUAAAGAAAACCCUUUUCUUUCUUCUUCCUCCUCUCUUUUUUCUUCUUGUUGAUUGUGGUUGCAAGCAUACGACGAAGAAUAGGGCAAAGCUUCUAGUAUCGGGUAUGAGAUGAAGCUUUCAACGUUAUUUUUUUAUUGGUCAUUCAUCCAGUUGACAACAUAAGUUUUAGAUGAGAUAAAGAUUGAGAGAGUUCUAGAUAUAAAACCAAUGAAUAAAUGUACAUAUGUAUAAUCGUUUAUUUUAUAUAAACGAUAAUGGUUAUUGUCGUUAACAUUUGCGUAUAUUUUUAAAUAAACAAUAAAAUAUUUUAUAGUCAACUUAAGAAAUGAAAAAUAUAUAUUUAUUUAAAUAUUUUUAAAUAAACAAUCAAACAUUUUAGAGUCAACAUAAAAAAUGAAAUGGAAAAUAAAAUCAUGUUAAAUGUCAUCUUAUCUCUUCAAAUGAAAAUAGAAAAAAAAUUAUAUUAAAUGCCUUUUCACUCAAAAUAAGAAAAUAUUAUACUAAAUACAUUUACUCUCUUUUUAAUAAACCCUUAUAAAUGUAAUUUGUGUCUCAUCACUAAAUAAACAUUGAAAAUAGGAAAACAUAUAUUAAUAAAGUUAUUGUGAAACUAUAAAAUCCUUCCUCGAAGAUUUUGAAACUUAAAAUGAGAUUUUUGGAUUUUUAGGUAAAAUAUCUGAUUAAUUAAUUUAUAUUAUAGAGAAUAAGUAUGAGUCUGUUGGCCCAAAAGCCCAAAAGCCCAAAAGCCCAAAAGCCCAAAAUCUCAAAGGCAAUCUUCUCAAUAGGUGGAGGCUCUUAUCCAAAUCCAAUGGCCCAUAUUUUGCACUUGUGGGGCCCUACAGUUCGCCAUAUCUAUCCUAAGUGCGCAUUCAUUCAAACCACUGCCUCAAACAAACAUCACACUGUUACAACUUACCAUUGCCACCUUCACUUUAUUCAAGCUUCACAUACACCUCAAUCUGAUCAUACUAAAAUGGCACUUUCCCCAUUAACCUUCACAACCCCAAGACCUCAAGCUUCCCAAAUUUUCUCCCCCAAGUUAUCUUCCACUGUUAAACCCACAUCUACUUCUUCUUCUUCUUCUUCUUCUUCUUCUUCAGUUUCUGCUACUAAGAAGGCAAUAUCUAACAUGGGCAUUGGCCUUCUUGCUGCUUCGGUUUUGGCUCUUUCGCCCUUGGAUGCAAACGCUACCAGAAUUGAAUACUAUGCCACUGUUGGAGAACCCCUUUGCGAGUUCAACUAUGUGCCUUCCGGGCUUGGCUAUUGCGACAUCGCCGUCGGAUCCGGUGAGGAAGUUCCUUAUGGUGAGCUUAUCAAUGUCAGUUCCGAUCUUCAAUCAUCCACUUCUUGUUUCUCAUUUUACUUUUCUUCGCAUCAUCAAAUUCUACCCUGCUUUUAUAUGACUGCUUGUUUCCGUCCAACUUCUCCUGCAUUGCUUCGUUGCAGUGGAAUGUGCAAUUCCCGCCAAUAGUAUAUCAAUCUAAUAUGUGUCUCUCGUUUUUUGCUGAGUUUGCAUGUGGGUUAUUUUUCUUAAUAUGUAUAUGUUGUGUCACGUGUUGCAAUGAACUGCAAUUCACUACGUUUAAUUUCCCCAUUCCACGCAUAAGGGAUUUUAUGAUAUGUUUUUGCGUUAUUUUACCGUUCAAAUGCAGGUUCACUACACUGCAAGGUUUGCUGAUGGGAUAGUGUUUGACAGUAGCUACAAGCGUGGUAGAUAUCUCACCAUGCGUAUUGGUGUUGGCAAGGUAUUGAUCAAGUGUUUUGUACAGCUUCUUAAGGUGCAUAUGGGCUUGAAAAGUUUGGCCAAUUUGUUUAAGUGCGAGCGGCUACAGGCUUUGAGAGUAAUGAUACUGUUUAAGAGAAAAGUGAUGAAAAUAUAUGUAUUUUAGGUCAUUGGUAACUUAGUCCAUUUCUGCACUUUCCAGAUCAUGUCGUUUCUUUAGGAAAACGUAGUUGAGCAGAAUUCAAUUGUACUUAUAACUAUGAGAAAAAAAAAAAGCAAAUUUAAUUAGAGUAAAACGGUCAGCAGAAUAGCUUUUCUAGGAUUGAGGAACAUCUCUCUUUGUCCCAUCUUAAUAAAAUACGCACCUUGCUGCAUCAACUUGGUUGACAAUCACCUCCCUAUAUGCAACUAUCUUCUAAGAGACCUUGUGUGGAGUUAGUUCUCCUACAAAUCCCAAUUGUUUGUUGACGAGGAUGUAGAAAGAAAGUGGUGGGUUUCUUUAACGAUUUGACAAGGAAAGAGCUGGAUGAGAGUGGAGGCAAGUCUGUUACCAACAUGGGAGGAUCAGGGUACUGAGAAUUUUCCUUCUCAUGCCUAGAUUAGGAGCAAGAUACUAUUUGUAAAACAAACUUUUAAUUUACUUGCAACCAAUCAAUAGCCAUUAUAUGGAUAAAUAAUUCAUUACCUUAGCCACUAACUAUAACUACAUUCAUUUCACCUUGUGGUGAGUGUGGGACCGUGGGUAACUGGGUGGGUGUAGUUACUUACCACAUUGACUCAUCGGAAAGGGACUAAAGUUGAUAAGAUUGUUGCCAGGUAAUAAGAGGAUUGGAUCAGGGAAUAUUAGGGGGUGAAGGAGUACCACCAAUGCUAGUAGGUAUGUCUACUGACGCAAUGAGUAGAAUUUUGUGGUUUUCUUUUUUUGCUGGUUUGCUUCUAAGAAAUUAUUGCCCCUCUGAUUUUGCCUAGGUGGCAAACGUAAGCUUCAGAUUCCUCCACAUUUAGCGUAUGGACCAGAACCAGCAGGCUGUUUUUCAGGUUGAAUUCUUUGAACUGAACUGCUUUGUUUUGCGUGUUGGCUAUCUAAAUUUUCGUGACAAUGUUGCAAGCUGUCUGUAGUUGCUUCUGUUGGCAAGUUAACGGUAGUUUAUUUUGUGCAAAUGCAUUAUAUGUUAGUGUGUAGUUGCUUUGCUCCAGAUAUCUCUUUUUGAUACUGGUGAAACCCAAGUACCAAUUAACUAAUGGACUCUGUUAAUGCCAUUUGUGUUGCCUUUACAGGUGAUUGCAAUAUACCUGGAAAUGCAACUCUUGUGUAUGAUAUAAAUUUCGUUGGAGUCUACUCAGGAAAUAGGAAGUGAUGGAAACAAUACCCAAUUUCCUACAAAAUUCUUGUAGAUAGACAACACAGAGUAAGUGAUUUUCUGACUUUUCUAAAUGUUCAAUCAUAUCAACCUAUCCUUUGUUUGGUUUCUCUUUUAAGUUGUGUUCACAGCUCAGCUAUCUUAACACACCCAUUUGUUUUUUGGUCCAUCUCAUACAGUAGAAUCACAACAAUUAUCUCAGUAGUGUCUCAGAUUCCAUUUCAUGCUUCCUGCUUCAUCUAUUGUUCAUCAUACACUUUUUCCCUCUUGGUUUCCCAGAACUUAAGUUGAAGCUAAACCACGAGCCAAAAGAAGUGCAUUUCUCUCUGGAUUUUCCAAGUAUGUGGAACUCAAGCUUGACUCUUAAGGCAGAAUACUUGGUUUUCUCCAACUAACCACCAGCAGGACUGGCAAUCCUUUUUAGGUGAAAAUCCAGCUAGGCAUGGUUGAAAUUGCUCAAUUCAAACGUAAUUGACCAAAACUAUGUAUUUGGUUGUUUUACAAGAUUAUGACUGUAUUUCUAUGCACGGAUACUAUUAUACUUUGUAAAAGCACGUCUUGUUUCUGAGUACUUCAGUAACUUUAUGCAAAUGGAAUCUAAUGACCGCAUUUUCUUUGAACACAUUCUUUUUUAAUAUGAUCGAAUUGUCAAUGAACACAAAAUUAUUAAACAUAGAUCACCCUAAUUUUUUCUCACCGCGAUUUUUCUUUAUGCUACCUUUGGAUAUGAGAAAAAGGUUAACGGAAAAAAAAUGUUCCGAAAGCCAAAAGCAAAGAAAGCAGGAUUCUUUCCUCACGUUUGGUGAAGAGAGAGAACCGGAAAGGAAGCCUUGGCUUGGCCUUUUUCUUCGUUUGCUGGGACCAAAUGCCGUUUGAAAUAAUUUGAAUUUUGUGUUCAAAUUUUUAGGCUCUUUUCCAAACCGAAAGUAAGUGCAAAUGUAUAGCCAUACUGCUCCUUCACAAUUCAUUAACUUAAUAAUUUCCAGUCCUUUAAAAUAAAGCGACUUUGGUUUUCUUCUUUUUUCCUUUCCUCUAACAGUUAAUAACCAGGUUGGAAUCUUGUUUUCUUUAGGUGAAAGAACAGCUGUGGGGAAGCCAAAGUCGUCUCACAAACAGAAAAUUACAACAUCAUGAAAUAAAGUAAUCUCUUACAUCAGCUAGUAACAACUAACAACCCCAAAUAUUCUAAUUACUCAUCCAUCUAGUUGACCAUUUCUUCUUCACAAAUGAUUGAACACACAGUAAUAUAUAUCAUUACCAUAAUUAUUGAGGUGUUUGACAAAAAUUUAGCAGAAGAGAGAUAUAUAGAGAGAGGUACAAAACAGGAGACUUGUUUUAGCUGCAAAGAAUUACAUGACAGAGCAAGCAUUUGGGUUGUCAUCACUGAACAUGUUGAUGUAAGGAUCUUCAUAUUUGGUAACAGAAGCAGUAGUGGCAGUUUGCUCCACAUUUCUUACAUACCCCGGUGGUGCCUUCUUAUCAUAAGCCUGAGCAAUGUAAGGCUGUGACACUAAGCUGUAGGGAACAUAUGGCCAUAUCUCAGCCUUUUUCCCUGUAGACUUCGCCUUCUUCAGUAUCUUGCUUGCUUCAACAUACCCCGUAACUGUCACUUUCUGCUGCUUCCUGUUUAUCUCCACAGAUUUUACCCCUUCCAAAGUUCAAAAGCAACUGCAUUUUGUUAGAUAGAGAGAAAAGGAAGAAGUAAAAACACAAAAGGGUUGAGUUUCUUUAGACAUAACAUACCACUGAGUGAAGAGAGGGCAUUCUUGACCUUAAGUUCACAGCCAUCACAGUCCAUUCUGACUUUCAACUCCACGGUUUGAAGCUGUUUCUUCUUCUUGUGUUUAUGGGUGUUACCCACCAAAUCUGACAAGUACUCCAAAGUCCCACCAACACCCAUUUUUCACUCUUUAAUCGAUGUAGUUGAAAAGGGAAAGGGACAACAGAAGCUCACAGAAGCAAAAACCAGAGUUGUAGAAAGAAAUGGAAACGUAAGUUUGGGUAGAAUGAUGGAUCUUUCUCUUUAGUCUUUACCUUCUCUUCAAGCAAACAAGCAAAGAAAAGGGCAUUAGAAACAAAGGCUGCUUUCUCUGGUUUUGAGAUGGUUAUAUGAAAGGAAACAGAGCUCGUUAUAUAGCCAUCUGGGUUACAUUUUAAAACUAAAGGAAAAAGGGUUGUGUUUUGGUUGUGGCCCCCCAAUCACCAAAAAUAAUUUGGCUUAGGAAGCUUGGUUCUUUUUUGUUGCUGUGGACGUUGCAUUUUUACUUUAAAAUGGCAAUUCUUUUAAGAUUAUGAAUAUAUUAAAACAAAUCUAUAUGCUUUUCUUAAUGAAGAGGUACUUUUGGCUCUAUCCUUUGGAAGAUUGAUCGCCUUUAUUCCAGUAAUAAAAUUAAGUUUAAUUUACAAAUACCAAAACAAAAAUAUAGAAAACAAAUUUGCAAUUUAACCUAAAACUAAAACCAAUUGGGCUGUCAUUUAUGGAGUGAAGCUGAAUUCAACAAGUUUUAAAAACCAACGCUAUACCAAAAAUGUCACCGCCAUCUUUACCUUAAUGCAUGAGGAGUCUUCUUAAUUUAGUGGUUUGCAUAAUUUUAAUUUAAUCUCAAUUUUUUCACGUAACUUUUUAAAACUAUUUCAUCUUAAACUCCAUUAUAAGAAGCUUGAAGGUGCAUGGUGGUCGGUAGGUGAUUAGAUCAAUUUCAAUUUUAACCUUAGUUUUUAAUUAAAUGGGUUUGGCUGGCUUAAACAACAAGUAGUAACAACAGACAGAUAUGUUGUUAGGAAGAGAAGUAUGUUAUGUUAUAAUAGUUGAAAAGAAAAAGUAGUGGUCAUGUCGUUUUCUGAACAACAUAACACUAAACAUAUAUAUAAAAAAAUAAAGACUUGGGAUUAUUUUAGUUUUCAUAAACAAUAAUUUUAGUGUUUGUUUGAAAAGUGUUGUGUUGGGGACUUGGGGGUGGAGAGAACCCGAAGGAAGGAAAGUGGGCAGCAGCCUCCUUCCUUGUAUGCAAUUGCAAAACUUAAGUCUUUUUCAAUUGUAUUCUUCUAAAAGUUUUAUAAUAAUCUUUCCCUUUUCAUUUCUGUUUUUAUUGUGUAUAUUUAUUGGUUUUUCACAUGGACAGGUUAAUUGGCUUUGAUUAAAUCUUUAAUACUACUACUAAUCACUGAUUGGAGCCACAAAUGUUGAUUACUUGAGUGAUUUAGAUGAUCAAGAUUUUUCAAAAAUUAAGUCAAAUUAAUUUUGACUUAAUUUGUGAAUCCAGAAAUGUGGUUUGGGAUGUGUGUAAAAAGAUCAUGAUGCUGAUUCUUUAUUCUAAUAGAGGAAGGAAGUAAAAUGGGUGUGGCUAAUCUUACCAUUUCUUCCUCUAUUCCUUUUCCUCCACUUUCUAUUUUGUCUUCAAACUUCUCCCCUAAUAAGCACACAUUUAAUAAAGUCACUCUAUCACACUAUGUACUUUUUUUGGCCACGAAUAUUUUUCAUUUCAUCAUGCAACCUCUUUUUUUAUAUAUAGUAAUUAUAGCUACAUUAAUAACUUUGACGGGACCCCCAACUUAUAAUUAAUUAAUUAGCUUUCUAUCAAAUUAAAAAUAAAAACGGUAUUAGAUUAUAUCUAUCCAUGAAAAAAGAUAAGAAAAUUGUCAUGAUCUUUAAAACAUAAACCGACACUAGAGAUCUAACUUUACAUCUCAUAAAAUCUAAUAAAACUAAAAAUGAUGGUAAUUAUAAUUUGGUGUUUAAUUAACUUAGAAUAAUAAUUUGUCCAAAAAGGUAGACAUGAGAUGGGAUAGGACAAAGGCCUGUGCAAAGGAAAAACUGUUCCAACUCUUACACAAAACUGGGACCUUCAAUGUGAAGAUAAGAAUAUUAUUUCUCAUUAAACUAACCACCAUUCUUAUUCUUCAAAAUAUUUAGUAACCAAAGACAGAGAUUUAAAUUAUUGGUUACAAGUUAUUAUUAAUGCAUAUGUUUAAUAAAGAAAAAAAGAAAGAGGAAAAAGGGGAUUCACAAACAAUCCAUCUUCUUGUAGCUUUUUUAUUUUGGAGGUUUGGUUUUGUUAGACAAAGAGCAUUGUCUUUUUUAUUUAUUCUUUUCAAUGGAACAACAACUUUUUAGAAUUGGGAAAAUAAAGGUGACUUUCUUCUUCACCACCACCACCACCUCUACCUCCCAAACACAAUUAUUGCUAUACAUUUUAGCUCUCAUUCCUAUUCCUAUCUAUACUAUGAUUAAUUAUUCAACCUUCUCACUUUCCUUUUUCUUUUGUAAUAUUUGAAUUUACACAAAUUUGACGAUCUCACAAUCUCAUUCGAUAGUUUUUUCAUUUUUCGUUCUGGUGUACUUUUUUCACUUAAAACGCGUAAAAGAUAAUGAAAAUGGAGGGUUAAAUUUGUAAAAGAAAUUAAAUAUAAAGGAAAAACCCUUUAGUGUAUGAGGUAAGUAUCACAUUGUACUAGUCUUUUCUAAUGAUUUCUUUUUAAGAUGACGACAUAAUUUAAAUGUAUCUAUUCUUAUGAAGCUUAAAUUAGUAACAAAAUCAUUCCAUGGCCUUGUUUUUUUUCUUUGGAAUUGUUCAUUUGUACUUUAGAAUAAUUAUAGAACCGAAUUUAUGUAGUCUAAAUUGAUUUGUGAGAUUAUAUUAUAAAAAUUUAUAUAGUUUAAAGGUCUAAAUUGAUUUGUGAGAUUAUAUUAUAAAAAUUUAUAUAGUUUAAAGGAGAUUUUAUAAUUAUGAUUUUACAACAUAACAUGGCAUAGCUAGAAUUAUAUUAACUUUUAGCAAUGGCUUAAACACAAUAACCAAAGUUGGCUUUGGACAUUAUUUCAUGAAAAAAGAAAGUUUUGUUUCUAAUGUUUGUUUUGACCUCAUGAAUAAGAACAGCACACGACUCCUUUUUAUAACGUUUUGGUUAUAACUUUUUUGUACUUUAAGGGAUUGGGCUUUUUUUCUGCCCUUGAUUUCUUGAUUUAUGUUUUUACUUUUUCAAAAAAAGAUUAGAAUUUAUAUUUGAUGCAGAAAGUCAAAAUUUAAAAAGAAAUUGAAAGCUAUUGUUUUGCUAGAUUGUCUUUUUCUUAAAAAAAAAGAAAAGAAAAGAAGAAGAUUAAGUGAAUUAAUAAACAAAUAUAUUUGAUAUUGAAAAAGAAGAUAGCUGUAUAACACAUGCAAUCAAUUAUUGUAUGGUGAACAGUUUGGGUAUUCAUCUAAAAUGCUUAAUUGUUCUUACUUGAUUUAAAUUAAUAUAUAAAGAAAUUGUAAAAAAAAUAAUUAAGUUAGAAGAUAACAAAAAGGGGAUUAGUAAUAUGGAUGUAGAAAUGAAUUAAAAAGUGGUGUGUUGGGGAAAUGAAUAGAGAAGGAAUUGUUGUGUGAAUGAAAUAAUUAGAAGUACUUUGGUGUACGCGGUGUCAGGUAAUGAAGUUCACUCAUUGAUAUAUAUAAUAAUAAGAUGAGUCCUCUUCCCUACAAUUUCAAACAAUAAUUGAAAUUUGGAAACGAUGUGGCCUUCACGCACACGAAGGAACCAUAAUCUAUAUAUAUAUAUUAAAAUGAAAUAUUGGUUAGUUCUAAAAUUAGUUUGUAUUAUUGGGUUCCUCAACUUUAAAAAUUUAUAAUAAGUCUUUAACAUUGAAAAUCUAAAAUAUCUAUUUGAUUUUUUAGGCAUUGUUAUCUACCUUUAUUAAAAAAAUUAGGCCCCUAUGAUAACUAUACUCAAACUUUAUUACUUUCUUAUCUACAUUUUAUCUAUGGAUUAAAAAUCAAACCAAAAUUUGAAAAUUAAAAAGAAAAAAUAACUGACAAAAAAAAUGUUUUCUGUUCUUCAAAUUUGACUAAGAAUUUUAAUCUUUGUAUUUGAGAAAGAAUGCAAAUUAUUGUAAGAUAGGAAAAGGAAAUAGGUAUAAUUAUAUAUAUAUAAAGCAAAGCCGAAAGAAGAAAUGGUUACGAAGUGAAAUUAAAAUAAAUAACAAAUAAUAAGGUUAGGAGAAAUAAAGAGUAAAGAUUAAGAAGGUAGUAAACUAACGGUAAUAUAUAUCAGAAGAGGAAAACAUAUAGAUAGAAGAAUGUAUAGCUACAUAACCAAAAAUGCAACGACUAUCAUCGACCCCCAUUGGAUGGCUCAUAUAAUGCCCCAAAAAAAAAAAAAAACUAAGAAAAAAGAAAGAAAAGAAGGAAAAUGCCAUUGAUGGAACUUGCAAGGACACAAGAUCUACAUGUCGUCCUUGCUGGGGGGAAGAUAGAUGUAAAGAGACUACCUCCAUUUACAUGUAAAACUUACUUAGAUAAAGCUCAGAAUCUACAUCACACGCAAGAAGAAACAAGGCAGAGUGCUAGAAGAAGCAGGUGCGGCAAUCUGAUUGAAUAAAAUCUGGAUGGGAUGAAGCAUGGGGUAGCAGCUGAUGGUUUAGAAGGGGCCCUUCCAGCUACGGCAGGAGCCACCGCGUGCCCCCCUGAAGCGCUCUGCUGUUCAUCGGCUGGUAAUGGGUUUGGCGGUGUCUCUUUUGCAGGAGUAAGAGGCAUUUUCUUUUCGUUACUGAGAUCUUGACCUUCGACAUGAACAUGGUAGAAAUAUGAAUGGAAGUUCAUGAAACGAGUUUAUAAAACAAUGGAAAAGCCAUACUUUCAUUUAACAAACGAAAAUAAUAUACAAUGAACAAUACAAAAAACCAACCCAUAUGAAACGAAGCAAGAAAAAAAAUGAUGGUUAAGACAGUUCAAACAUUUUCUUUCGGUUUUAUCAUGCACAAGAUGUGGGCAUCAGUUAAGAAGCUGCAAAAUCAUGACAAGUAACUACUAGGAGAUGGAAAUCUUACAAUUUGCGUGUGACCAACCCAACUUCAAAUUAUCCCUAUCAAAUACCAUCCGGUAUCCAGUCAUGUAAUUUUCUGCACAAGACAGCAAUACAAAAUUACCAUUUUCAUUAGACGUACGAUUUACUGCACAUAUCGCAUAUAUCAUAUUAGCAAUCUAAAUUUGAGGAGACAUUGUGAGCUUACGUCCCAAUAUUCCGAUAUCUCCAUCAGCAGGUAGUAUAGCAAAACAAAAUCCAGCUAACCCCUGUAUGCAUAGUACUGUUUAGUAUUAACACAGGCAUUAUUUUCUUGUAUUAGAAGUGAUGCAUAGCAUGUGACUUCUUCAGGAUACUUAAAACAAUUAUAUCAUCUAUUGGAUAGUUAGAACUAGAGACUAACUGCUAGGCUGUAUCAAAGAAGAGGGCCCUACCUCAGCUUGAUAGUUUAAGCACACCUUAUUUUUUUUCUUUUAUUGUUUUAGUUCUUAUUCUUCGUUUCCUUGUAGUCUCUAGUUUCUGGAGUAUCUAAAGCUAUCAACUUCACUACUAUGUUUCACAGUUCGAUUUUUAAGUACUUUUAUGCCCACUAAAAGUCAAAGCUAUUCCAUUAAUGGCUAAUUAUGACAAAUUUCAAAGAUCAAGUCCACAUCUUCACCCAUAUUCACCAAAUCAAAUCAUGCACACUUAAACAUUCUUAGAAGGAAACUUCCAUCUACCUGAUCGCCAUAGAUAGGGAAUACAGGAUCAUGAACCACAAAACUAUUGUUUAGUGGAAACAACAAUGUCACAGAUGGAACCUUUGGCAUUGCGUCUGCACUGUUGGAAAAAACGAUAACAUUAAAGUUAGACAUGCACAAGGGUGGGGUUUAUGAAGGGAAAAGGAUUUUACUGGUUAUCCAUCUCAUCGAUAUCACCUGAUCUUAUAGCAAUACUUCCAUGGAUAUCCUUUAAAGGAGACGGCGCUUGUAGUGUUUAACCUUUUAUCAAACUAUGAAAAGGGGAACUGGUUAAAGGACAAACGAACGAUAAAUUAAGUACAAAGCUGAACUACAAAAUGAAUGUACCUCAAUCACAAUAUUUUCAUAAGCUUCCUCUGGAAGAUAUGUAAACGAUGUCCCACUAUCUAUCAAUGCUUUAAAACUUGUCUGCUUGAGGCACGAAUUCUCAAUACAACAUGCUUCCACCCCAACAAUGUAGGUUUCACUGAAAGAUUCAGGUAUCACAAGGACUUCAGUCGGCAUAUAUAACAAAACAUGAUCAUCAUAAACAUGGAGAUAAUUCAUUAUGGUAAUUACUAUUUCCCGUCUAAUGGCACAAAUGAAGUUGUUUGCUGACUUGCAGGUCCCUCGUCCCCAAAAAAGAUUCUUCCAGAUCCAUCCUCAUUAAAACACAGCGAGAAGGAAUUCUGCACCAAUUCUUCUUUCGCAAGGGAACUAAGAACAGAAAUUUCUCCUAACCCUAAUCCAAAAAGACCAUCUGGAGCGACUCCACUUAGAUAACCGCCGCUUUGUUUCAUACCACACCUGUAUUAGAGAGCAAAAAUGGGUAAUAUAAAUACAGUAUCCUUCCUUAUUGCUGCAGUUUACACACAGCAAACAAUUGGAGGAACAAAAUGUAGGAACAAUGGAUCAUACCCUAAAAUGACAGGAGCCUGAAUCGUACAAUUAGAUGAAUUCUCACAACCGGAUGAAAGAUGCAACACAUCCUGAAUUAGUAGUCCUGAACUUGAAGUAUUUUCAGUAAUGUAGUCAAUAACAUAAGGACAUGACUGCUUCGGACUUUGGCAGCUUUGGCCUGAGUCGCACAAAUUAUGGCUGCAAGAUAUAUGCUUGCUCGUGCUUGAACUGGAUGGACGGUAUUCAUUGAGAUCUUUAUCCUGCAUUAUAAAUAAUGCCCCAAACAUGAGGGAGCAGGAGCACCUGCCAAUCAAUCAUCGGAAAUAAGUGCUAAACUUGCUGUCUUAUUAAAAAGACUUCAUAAUCCACUAAUACAUUCGCGCCAAAAAUGAGUUAGCCAAUCUUUCAUCUCCGUCUCCCCUCGGGCAUUUUUUAUUUCCCAUUGGAACUGGCCAUGCCUUUCUUUUCCGCCAAAAAUCACUACAAGACUUCGAAUUCCAGAACACAAUUUGUCCAAGCAUAACCCUUGAUCUAACGGAAAUAAAAAGGCAAUAUGCUUGGGUAUAAAGCAUAAGUCGUGGAUUAGAAGUAAUUAAUGUUUAUGUGGAAAGAACAGAUUCUGAAAAGCAGGCCUACCAGACUGCCAUAGUAACUUGCAGACAAGGGAGCACAUUGUAUGCAAUUACAAGGAACCCAAAGUAGAUCACUCCCAGCAUCCAAUGCAACCAGAAAAGAAACACUCGGUGUCCCGAUAUCAAUCCAGGUGUAAUGCAACCUAUAAUACGUAAACAACAAGAUGAUUUACAAGUGCAUAAGAUAACAUUUUAUAACACAAAAUUUUCUCAUAAAGGUGCCACUAUGCAAAAAGCUAUUAGAAGAUGGUUUUUUUUCCUUUUUUGGUGUGUGGGGGAGAGAGAUUACUAAAAAAAAAAAAAAAAAAAAAAACAAACAAACAAACAGAAAAGUAAUGCAAAACGGAAGAACAAAAAAUAGCAAGAACAAAAAGGAGAAGGAAGGAAGAGUAACGGUGACCAGCCAAAAUCAUUUCCGAGCGCAAUGGUUUUACUGCCUUCAGACGGGAAAAGCAACUGAAACCGAGAACCAAGCUUCAUCUUCUGCCUCCGAAAGUCACCACUAACAAGCUCCUGAUAAUACUCCAUACUCCCCUUCUCAGGCCAUGAUACUCGUACACUCGUAUUCGUACUCCCUGAAGCCCUAAGGGCCUUCAUCUCCUCAGAGAACCUGUGAAGUAUCCUUGAUGUGAACGUAAUAGACACCACCUGGUGAACAAAAAUCACCAUCAGCAGCAACAAAAGCAGAUUCCGAAGCGACAUUGCAACUCAGUCCUUGAAAGGACGAAGGAAGUAGCUCGAAGACGAGAUCUGGAGGUUCAGAAGAAACCCACGAACAAUUCGGAGCUUUAGUUACCCGCCGGUGAACCAAAAUGAAAAACAGAAACAGAAAGAAUCUGAGGGGUAUGAAGAAACCCAAGUUACGGGACAGAGAUCGGAGAAGAAGGCGAACGAGUUACGACGGAAGUAGGAAAGAAGAAAUGAAGUGAAGUGUAAAGAAGAAGCGAAGUGAAGUGAAGUGAAGUGAAGUGUAAAGAAGAAGCAGAGGGAGGGAGGGGGAGAGAGAGAGAGAGAGAGAGAGAGAUAGAAGAGGGCAAAAGAAGAAAAGGAAGGGGAGGAGGAGGACAGAAGGGAUUUGUAAUACACGGGGAAAAUAGCGCGUGUUAUAAAAUAAUUCCUUUUCAGUGUGUGCGCGCCCGUAAGAGAGGUUGUCGUUUUCUUAAUCACCGUUGGAUACAUUUCUUCUGCCUCUUUACUUUUCUUAUUUUUUCGUUUUCGUAUUUUAUUUUUCAAAAUAUAUCGAUGCUUUUGUAAAUUUUUUAUUUAAAUAAAGAUUAAAUGUGAGCUACUACUUUUAGUUUCGGAUAUUUGGACUUUUCAAAUGAAAUAAAUUAAAAUUCAAAAUAAAGGAUAAAUAAACGAAAUAAAUUAUUUGGAGAUUUUAUAAAAAAAAUAAGUUCAGAUUUAUUUGAUUUCUGUGUUCGAAUUAACCCUUUCCAAUAUAAUAAAAAUUACAAACAUAACAUAAUUUAGAUUUAAUUUUUAAAAUUUAUUAAUACAUUAUUAGAAAGUUAAUAGAUAAUAACAACAUAAUCUAGUGAUUAAAGUAUUUGUUAUUUUUAAGAGUAAAAAAAAAAAAAAAGUUGAAUUUUCUACAUUUACAUUUAUUGGUAAGAAAAGUUUCCUAAAGCAAACAUUCAGAUAGAAAAUGUAUGCCUCAAUUAUUGACAAAAUCAAGAAAAUAAAAAAGGUAUCCCAAUAAAUCCCUUUCAUGAUUAUUGGUGGUCUUGCAUAAGAAAUGUAGUUGGGGAUAAAGUUCUAUUGAAGAUAGGACUCUUAGGUAGAGAGACCAAGACUUACUAAAAUUGUAUUUGGUCAAAAUGUAAACUUUUGGUAGGUACAAAAUCUCCACUCUUCUUAAUUCAAUUGGUCCAAAUUAAAAUGUUUACCCAAAUAUGCAUUGCUCCUACUCCUAACUAGCUAAAAUGUUCAGCUUAAGUGACUGGCACUUAACAUCUAUUUUUGUAGGUGUGAGUAAGGUUAGCCACAUACUCAUGUUCAUUUAGUAUUUAUAUUCCACCUUGGUUCGAACAUUUUACCCUAUAUGUAAAUAGUUUCAAAACUUUUGACAUUAAAAAAUAUAUAUAUUUUUAUAAGAAAAGAAAUGAUAUGUGAAUUAAAAGUGAGGAGACCUAAUUGAAGGGAAACAAAGAAAUUGAAAGAUGAACUUUGUGGAGGCACCACACCAAGAAGGUGGUCCAAGAAUUACUUACGUGUCGAUUAAAACUAAAAAAGCGCAUUCAUUCUCAUUGGGCGGCGGCCCUUCACUUGCGAAUUUAAAUGAUAAAAUUCUUUUAAAUAAUUCAUCGCAUUACGUUUCAAAUUUCAAACCUAUCCUCUAAAUACUACCAACUGCUGGCAGUGGCAACCCACUCAUUGUCAUUCACCUGCAGCACUUUUCACUUCUGAUUUCUGAAUAUGAAAACUCCAAACCAAACCAAACCAUUACUAGAAAGAAAAAUUAUUUAUUUCAGGGUAUCCUAAUAUAUAAUUCACAAGUUCUGAAACGAGAGAAAAACUAAGAAAACAGAGAGAACGUCCAGAACAUGUGUUUAUAAGAGGUUCCUAUGCAUACAUUCUUUUUAUAAUAAUAAAUUCACACAAUGAGAAGUUACAUAAUUACAUUAUACAUUACUUUUCCUCAAAAUUGACAAGCAAUUGAAAUCAAUGAAAUACAAACAAGACCAAACCCAGAAAAACUAGUGAAAGGAAAUUUCCAAUUUUCUAUUUAUAAACUAAAAAAAAAAAAAAAAAAAAAAGAGAAAUCUGGAAAGUAUAUUAUAUACACUAUCAUGAUAAAUGCUCAAAAUUGAAAAAAUAAUUCCGCAAGGGGAAGGGGAUGGUCUCCUACUAAUGCAAUGGUGUAGCUUACUUGUUAGACCACUGAAAUUCUAUUUCCAAAUUCCGAGGACCGCUUUUGCUUUCAGGCAACAGGGUGUACUCGCCGGCAACCGCUCCCAACAUUACAACUUUGUCAAUUUGAAUUGUUACUUUCCCGAAAGAGCUCUGUUUUUGUUUUAGAGUACAUGAAAAGAAAAUUAGUUGUGAAGCUUUCAUAUGGAAACAAAUGAAGAGAAACAAAGGAAACUUAAAUGAAACUCGCCUUCCCCAUUUUGCUUUUGUUCUUGCAAGAAAUAUGAAGCUUCUGGCCUUUCGGUGGACUCUCAAAGGACCAUGCAAAAUUCUCAUCCCAUUCUGGAUUUGGACCGGUUGAUACAACCUGACCAAAAUUUAAAGAGAAGUUACAGUUUAGAAAUCUGAGACAAAUUGGGAAAAGGAUCAAAGAACAAAAGAAGCGAUGAUAAUAUUGGUUAUGAUGGAAUAAAAUAGGACCACAAAUUUUCUCCUAAAACCGUUCUGCCAGUAAAAUUUUAAUAAGAUACGGGGGCAUUUCGUCCAUGAACUGUACAAAAGAAUUAUUCAAACAUGGUGCAUAUGCAGAUGAAAAAUGAUAUAUGGAGAUGGACCACACAUGCGACAAGAGAAAGGAACCACACUACUCCAGCACACAACAGACUAUAGUUCCGAUAAUUAGUUAAACAUAGCCACUAUAAUUGACUAAUAUAUAAAUUAUCUUCCAUGGAAUAUUUACAAGUGUAAAAACUAUGAAUAAAAGGAAGAUGCAGAGAUGGAGUACAUUACCUUUGUUUGCCUCGGUGGAGUAUUGCCAAGGGUGAGCUUACAAAACACGCUGGGGUUUCCUACUGACUGCUUCAUGUUGUUGCCACGUUUGAUUAUAACUAAUAAUGUUCCUGGCAAGCACUGUAACAAAAAUUCAGCCUUCUCCUGGAAACGAGGAGGACCUGACUGAAUUAGAUACUGAAGCAAAGGAAUGGCAUCUGCAGCAGCAACAGACUGAGCUCUUGAAACCUCCGCUGGACAAGCUGACCAAGCUUGCCUCAAAAGAAACAGGGAAUCUAACGCAGCUUCUUGAGUUGCCUCAGUACCAGUCUUUAAGGAUGUUACUAGAUGAGGAAUGCUGAGUGUAGCAGGCUCAGUAGCUCUCAAUCGUGGGAAGUUGCUGAAAAGAGAAUUUAGGGCUUUCAGGUAUUCCUCAUUCACGGUUCCAGUGGCCCACAAGUCCUUUUCAAUGGCAGCUGCAAGACCAAAUUGUUAUGACACUAUAUCUUCCGAGGCAGGUAAGUAAAGUUUAUUAGGCAAGCGUCUAAGAAAUUGUUGUAAAAGCAGAUGAUUAAUUCUAGAAUGCAGUCUCCCAAGGGGAAAAAAUAAAGGAAAACAUUCAAAAAUAUAUUCAAUCGUGUAGCAGAUGUGCGGAGAUGAUUGAAAAGGAAAACCCAAUUCUAUCAAUGUUAUUAUGCAUGUGGAGGGUUUAGGGAAAUUACCAGUGAUGGCCCUAACUGUCUCACUGGAUGCGUAUUCCUGAAUGGUAUGAUUUGAGAAAAGGAGUUUAAUAAACAUUGCAGCCUGCACAGAUGUAUCUGGAUCACUGGAUCCAAUUAGGUCCAAUACCACCUGAACACCACCAGCCUCUGCAACUGCUCUUUUGUUUGAUCGACUGUACAUAACAAGAUUUUGCAAGGCACAUAUUGCUACCACUUUCAUUUCUUCUGUUGGUUGGUCCUCAAGCACAUUGACCAGAGCACGGCAAGCUGAAACAGCAUCCGUGCUUCUAGCAAGAGCUUCAUUCUGGAACAAAUCACCAAGUGCCAAAGUUGCCAGCAACCUUGGCUGUUGAGCUUGAGUUUGAGGAUCCAAGAGAUACUGGGAUAAUGGUACAAUUGCAGAUUUAGUAACCUUGGUUUCUCUGAUCUUCACAUUAUUAAGAAGUACUUCCAGUAGUCUAGCUGCAGUUUCCUCACAUUGAUGGCUUCUCAGAAGUUCCAACAGUGCCUCAAUUGCUCCACUUUCCGCCAUUGCUUCAGCACUCGUUGCAUCAUCACUUUCAAGUACAAGUAAAGCAUUCAGUGCACCAACCACUGUGCUUUCCAAUCCAGAACGAAGCAACCUGACCAACACCGCAACUGGGACUUCCAGAUAAAAUUCAGAACUGAACUGUAGAAUACUCGCUAAUACAGUGGCAGCAGAUUCCCACAAUGAAUGAGGAAGUGAAGGAUCAGCUUGCAGAAUGACUUUGGAUAACUCACUGACACCACCUUCUUUUGCUAUUUCAUUUGGCCACGUUAGUGCAAUACUAACAAGAGCCUUGACAGCUCUCUGCUGCAAGAUUUGAAUACCAGAACCAAGUACUCGUAUUAGAGGACCAAUCACUUGCUGCGUAACUGAGUCCUUUUGCAAAUGUUCUUCCACAAGUAGGUGUGAUAGGAGCUCAGCUGCCAAUUGUUGCACAGCUGGAGCAGGGGAAUCAAGUAAAGGAAUGAGGGGUUCAAUUGCUUGGUGACAGGUCAAUGUAUAGUCAGCACGACACUGAGGAUGCUCUAAUAUAUUAACAAGAACCUGCAGUGCACUAUGCUGUCCAUCAGGUCCAAAUUCUGGUCUUGUCAACAAUAGGAAAAGAGGUUCAACCACUUUUGCAGCAGAUGAUCCCUUAGCAAUGUUAGCAUUAUUAGUCAGUAUACGUAGCAAUUCUGCAAAGGCUGAACAAAGAAAAUCAGGUGCUUCAAGGAGGAUAUCCAAAAUGCUUUCAAUUACUCCAGCUUUUACCAUUUCCAUCUUACAAGCAGGUCUAUCUUUUCCUAACUUUACAAGUGCUCUAGACACUGCUUCGUGAAGCAUGAAAUUUCUACCAUAGAGGAGGCCUACAAGAGGGAUAACAGCUCCAUGUGCAGCAACUAGUUCUGCUAGUUGUUCAUCAUCAACUAGUUUAUCCAAUGCACGGACAACUGAUUGUUGAGCAGGACUAAAUUCAGUCACAAGAAGCGAUACCAAAGGCUCGACACAUCUCGCAGCAGCCAUUGUAGAUCUGAUUCUUGUAUUUCCAAAAAGUACACAGCACAACUCAGCAGCAUCUCCCUUCAAGUCCAUUGUACAAUUUGUUGACAGAAUUUUGCAAAGGACAUCAACUGCAUUCAUUUCAACAUCUGCAACUGCAAGGGCUCUUGAUGGGUUUUCACUUAAUAAACGAACUAAAGCAGCAAUGGCAGCAUGUUGCUCCCUCUCUGAGCCAGUACUGAGAAUCUCAACUAAGGGUUGCACAGCUUGUCUGGACGAUUCAGCAUUCCUAAUAUGGUCAGCAGAAAAGAGGCUCUCCAAUGCUUUAGCAGCACUAUACCUUGCACCCCUUCCACCCAAACGCAGAACUGCUACAAGCUGACUGACAGCACCAAAUGCGGAUUCAUGCCUACGUAUCUCAGAACUGCUGAAAAGAAUUCCUAACAAAUCAGUAGCAGCUUCUUCAGUUGCAUCUUGUGGUCCAAGUGAAAGAUAUUUGGUCAAUGCUUCCAAAGCCCCUGAUUCUACCAUAACAAUCUUAUUUGAUGGGCAGUCUUUCGCUAGCUGGGUCAAAAUUCCAAGAGCUAGAAAAGGUGCUCCUGGGCGAUCAGGAAUUGGUUUUAAUAAAUCAACAAGAGCUGGAAUUGCUUUCCGAGAAGUAGCACCAGUCCUUAUGUCAUCUACCCGAAACAAUCUCUCCAAAGCAACUUGCUCAGGGUAGCGAACCAGCAUGAAUUCUUCUGACAGUUCAAGAAGAUCAUAUAUGUCAGCAUCUGCACACCCAAGUAAAGAUAUUAAUCCCCCUGCUGCACCAGAGUUUGCAACUGACAGCAGGGUACCCCUGCUACCAUUACAAACUAAACUUGCAAUGGCCUGGGCUGCAAAAUAUCUAUUUGCUGGCUCCUCUGCUUUCAGUAAAUUUGCAAUCACUGGUAUAGAUUUCAUGGUUGCAUGUGCUCGUAUUAUAUCCCUGUCUUGAAAUAGAAUUGCAAGCAAUAGAGAAGAUAUCCAUAUGCUGCUGUCUUCUUUAAAAUCAAUCUGUGUAAAAAUUGAAUAAGCAAAAGAAAAUUAAAUGCAAUUAGUUAUGAAACCACAAUGAGUAAAAUAUCAAACAAAGGACCAUAAAUCAUGGAAAAACUAAAGGAAGGUAAGAAGUUGAGCACCUGAGCAUACUGUGAGGAAUAAUUGGAUAUUCCCUCUGUGAGAACUUCAACUGCUCCAGCCUCCAUGAUCACAGUCUUACUUCUUCCGUCGUGGCAGGCAAGAAGACAGAGUAGCCAUAUUGCGAGGUUGACACCAUAAACAACAGCAGUAGCUUUAUUGCAUUCUGUACCACAGCUGCCUUCUUUGGGAAGUCUAUAUAUGCUGAUAAAUUCCUUAUCAGUAUCACUCUGAUUAUCCAGUACAGAACUCUGCGAAGAGCUUAACAUUGCAACAAGAGAUUGAAUCAGUAGACUACAUGAACUUGAUGCGUGAAGAUCUUCCAACAGCCUGUGGUGAUUAACAUUAGCGGCACAUACGAGAAGGGCAGUUCCACCAAUUUUGACCUUAAUGUUUGUGGAAUUGAUCACCCUCGUAGAAACAGAAGCUAUGCAUCCAGAUGCAGUAACUACUUCUUCUCCUAUAACACCAGGUUGAUCCCGGCAAAGUCGUGCUAAUACCUCAAUAGCCUUGUCCUGUAGUAUAGGAGUUGCGUCAGUAAUGGAUGCAACUAUUGGGGAAAUGCUUUGGGGGAAUUCAGCUAAGACUGCCCAUGCAGGCUUCAUGGUCCCGCUAACCCCUUCAGAUCUAGAUAAAAUAGCAAGAGCAUCUAGUGCUUCAGAUGUGGAAACAGUUCUGGUGUCUGCAGAUCCUAGAAAUGAGACUAAUGCGAGAACAGUUCCUGCACUAUUCACACAAUCAGUGAUGCUAUGGUCAAUUUUCCGAGAGCGAAGCAAGCGAGCAAUUCCUGCUGCUGCAUGUGUCUUUCCAGACAUUGUGCCUUCACGCAAAACCCUAGUGGCAGGCAAAAUAAUUUCUUCAGUAACAGCCUUCUCUUGGACUUCACUAUCAAGUAGAAGAUUUGCCAGAGCACAGGUUGACAGUUCUGUAACUUCCAGAACUGCAGACUUUGCAAGCACAACUAAGGGAGAUAAUACAUCUCUAGCAGCAGCAGCCACGUCCCUGUUCUCCUUGAUUGACAGAAAUAUGGCAGCAAGGCACCGGGAAGCCUCUGCCAGAAUACUGUCGGAUUCAACUUUAAGUAGUUUUAUGACUGAUAAGAGAGUCUGAAUAGCAAUGCUACUUUCACGCAAGUCUUUGCGGAUUUCAAAUAUUCCAGCUAAAGCUGAUGCAGAUUUGGCUUGGGUCUCUUCUCUAGUAGAAUUCAAUAUUUUAAUCAUGGUCUCAAUUGCAUCAUUAGCAGCAGUACCUUCACGCACAAUAUCAUUGAGGGGGACCACAGAAAGCAUACUUCUAAGAGCAUCCAAAACAUAGACUUUGGAUUCUGGUAAAUCACUGGUUAAUAAUGCAGUAAGUUGGCUGAUGGUUGCUGUAUCAGAUUUAUGAAUCAAAUGAUUCAAAGUCUUUGCUGCAAUUUCUUUUCCAUUAGAGCUUCCAUUCUUAAGCAACCACAGCAGUGCAGGGACAGCAUCAGCGCUUUCAACACAUGCACGUAUGUCUUCACUGUGAUUGCAUAAGUUUCUAAGAAUUGUUGCAGAAUCUUCUUUUGCCUUUGCAGAACCAGUCUCUAGAAUUUGAACUAGUGGAGGUAUGCCACCAGCAGCCGUUAUAGCCCAUUUACUCUCAUCAUUUUCGUUCGAUAAAAGACAAAGCAAUGCAACCGCACAUUCCUGUUGCUGCUCUGAUGAGAGUCCAAGAAGUGAAAUCAACAGCUGAACCCCCUCACGACCUUGCAGGGCACGCCAUAGACUACCUUCAUUGUUGCAAAGGGUAAGAAGGGCUCUUACAAGCUCUUCCUGAACUUCAUUGGUUGCCAUUGUGAUCAAACCAACUAGUAAACGUUUUGCAUCAGAAUUUGCAAGUUUGACAGCAAGUAUGGGAUUACCAUACAAACUAGCUAAUGCUUCUAUAGUUCGUUCCUGCACAAGAAAGGUUACACGGGAUCCAAACUGCUUUACUAAAGUCUGUUCAAUAAUUAUAGGAUCUGAUGCUCUGGUGGCUUCUUCUUUGCUAUCAUAUAUCAUAAGAGCUGAUGCUAAAGCCCCUAAUGUGUCGGCAGUUUGAGCAGCUGAUGAGCAUGCCUCAAGGCUUUGUCCAAGGCUUGAGAUAACAUAAGACAAACCACCUGAAAUGUUUGCUAAAGCACACAUAGCAUUCUCCUGCAAUGCCUGAGCAUACUCACCUUGCAUGAACUCUUUCGAGGGAGCUAUUGUUGCAUUUAUCAAGGCAGGGAUACCAUUUGAACUUGCUACCUCACGCCGUGCUUCUUUGCACUGAGCAGAAAGAGAUUUAAGAGCACCUGCAGCUUCUGCUCUAACAGAGGCUUCAUUUCCAGGUCCUAUUAAUUUGAGGAGCUUUUUCGUAGCCUCUGCAGCCAAAACCUUGGAGCAAAAAGAUGCAUCUUCCAUCAUCACAUGUGCCAGGAGAAAGCACACAUUUGCUUGUGUAUUUGGCUCUCCUGUUGCCAAUAAAUUCACAAGUAUGUCUACACCGCCUGCAUUUAUAGUUGCAGACCAAAAUCCCUCAGUGCUGCUUGAGAGGUUUCUUAAAGCUCCAGUCAGUAAGCCAACAACAUUUCCAGAUUUGAGCCCAUUGUGUAGCUGCUCCCAAAGUACCGGAACAACUCCCUCAGUAGAAAAUAUUUUGGAUCCAACGUGAUCCCUAGCACCACCUUGGGAAACAGCAUAAAUGGUCUUUGCAGCAGCAAUUUGACCCUCUGACGAACUUGAUUUGAGGAGACCAAGCAAUGGGGGGAUGCAUCCUCCAAGUAGAACCUUUACCCUUAAUUCAUUUUCCUUGCACAAGGAACCUAAAACAGUAGCAGCUUGUAUUUUCACCCCAAGGGAACCUGAACGGAGAAGAGAAACUAGUACUGGAACUGCUUGAGAGUGAGAUCCAACAGCACUGAAUGCACUCUCACGUGUAUCAAUAAGUUCCAGCAAUUGCCUCAAAGAAAAUUCUUUCUCCUGCACAGAGGAGGAACUCUGCCGCAGCUGCUCAAUGCAUUGAGCAACACUUGCGAGUGUCCCAUCUGGAUCUUCCAUGCUAUUGCGAUCUCUGCAAGACAUAUGAUCAAAGUAAGUCAUCUGAUCUGGGUAUUAUUGUUCAGCGAUACACAAAUUGAACAAUAACACUUGUAUUUUACUACUUGGAUCGACUCACACAAAACAAGACUGAAUUAUAUGCUAUCCUCAUUUACUAUUGGACUCAUUCAUCAUAUGCUGUCCUUUAAGGAGGCUUGGGCUCUGGAAAGAUGGGGAAAAUGAAGUUCAAACUGAAGGAGAAGUGGACAGCCAACUAAAAUUUAUUAGGUCCAUUCACAUCCGUGUUCUUAAAACAAGACAACACACACACAUACCUAUGUCAAAAAUUAAAUGAAAAAAAUGUGGAUAUGGUAAAACCUCUAAAAUAAAAUAAUGCAUGCAAGUGAAGUGUAUACAUAAAAGCAUAUUGGUUAUCAAACAAAAAUGAGUCUUUCAUAAAUGCCAUGAAAUGACAAAAGGAACAAAAAUUAUACAUACAAGGACAGCCAAUAAAUAAAACCAUAUGGAUUAUCCUUAGAAGUCAGAAUACACAUCUUCCAAAUAUAACAUGAACUUGUUAAAAAAAAUGAAAUAAAUAAACAUUCAACUUUGAUUUUACCUGGAGCCCAUCUUCAUAAUAGAAUGCGGAGUAGGAGGCUCUGAAUCUUGAAUUUUUCCAUCCAUGUUUUUCUCCUACAACAAUUGAACACAGAAAUGAUUAGUACAUAACUAACAUAACAUGUACCACAAAAUCGAGAAAGUAGAAUACUUUAAAGAAAGCAUAGAACUAUCUUAAGCAGCUUAUUUUGUUUUUCCCAAUACAUAAACACUAAACAGGGUACAUACUAAACCACUCGUAUCAAAUUGAAGAUGACAUCCCAAAGAAAACUGCAUUGACUAAGAUUAUCUUUGAAAUUCAGUUAACCAGUCCAUCCGUCUGUCCCCUCUUAAACCUCAAACAAUAUUGAGCUUAGACAACCAAAUAAUUAAAAUAAGCAUACUCAUGAGUCCAUAACCCAAUUUUCUUGAUAUGCAUCAGAAUCACACUCACACAUGCUCACAUUUAAAACAACUAUUGUUUUCAUAAGCACUCCAUGCAAGAAUUGGUAAAGGGAAAAUUAAUUUACAAAUCUAAUGACAACAUUUAAAUAGAGGCCACAAAAUACCAGAUCAUUAGUAGGAUGACUGCUACCGUUGCUGGCAGCUAGUCUCCAAGUUAGUGUCGCCGCCAGUUUCUCUUCCUUUUAAGUUACAAUGAAGAUGAAACAGAACGUCAGAAUUCUACAGAUCUAUGAAAGAAAGGCAAUUAAUAGCAUAGCAUUCUCCUGCAAAACAAUCAUGAAAAAACCAGAUCAGAGACAAUGAUUAAAAUGCCGCGAAUCCAAAUAUUUUAUAACACUUGAACCGUUUCCAUACAACUAACAAAUAAAUAACAAAACCAGAAAAACAGCGAUGCUGCUGAAGUAGCGGUUCUAAGACUAAUUGAGCCAAUUAAAGUUCUUCAGGACUAAUGUGAAAUUAAUUUCACAUCACGCAAGGACACAUAUAAACUGUCUAUACUCCCGACACCGCCUCUCUCCAGUAAAUCAAAUUCCAUCAACAAUUAAAGACGGAAAUGAAAUCAAACCAAGCAACGAAAAUCCACAGAUUUACAUAAACACCGACCAACUAAAAUAAAAAUGACGCAGAUCCAGCAACAAAGAAUCAAAGUACAACUGAUUUAGUGAUCAGUCAAACAAGUCUAUAAAUGCACAACACAAAUAAAGUAAAUUAUAAUAGCAUUUGGCUAAGGCAAAAUCGACAAAUCGAAAACAGGAAUUUCAGUGAAUUUUUUACAUCGUGGCCAAUGCAAGCAGCUCAAAUCCAUUUCAUGCAUCAGAAAGAAAAUGAUAGAGAGAAAAAACCAACCUAAGAAGAGACUGGAAUGAAGAGCAAGUUUCUUACAAGAGAAGCGAGCAUAAAGAGAGAGUGAGAGAGCUUAGCCUCUGAUUUUCCUUUUUUUCUUUCUGGUGCUGUUGCUCUCUCUCUCUCCUCUUUUUUCCUCUUUCUCUCUCUAAAAAAUGGGAAUUACGUCUCCGAAUAUACAGAGAUUGGAACGGAACCAAGCAGGAGACAGCGAUGAAGCUUUAUGAGCUUUUUCCACAUCCACACUCUCACUAAUACACCACCGACAAGCUAAGCCGCCGCUUUCCCGGCUAACCUCGGCUCGGCUCACAUAUUCCUCCAUUUUUUUCUUCAUUUAUUUUACAAAUUAUAAUUGUCAACCAUUAAUUAAUUUUUCUAACUCUCUCUCGUCUUAAAAAUAAUAUAUAAUAAUACUAAUUAUUAAUUAUUAUUAUUAUUAUAUAACUCUCUUUCUCUGUCUACAAUUUAUCUCGUGGUGACUUUACAAUUAAUUGAGUUGAGAAUUUCUUCUUUAAAAAAAAAUUUGGCUUGAAUUAUUAAAAAGUAGAAAAAGAAAAUUAAAAUCAAGAGGAUGAAUUGAAAUGAAAUGAUACCUUAUCUCUCUCUAGAAAUGUUUUAUUAUUAUUUUAUCAUAUAAUAGACAGGUAUUGUGGACAGUGAGAUACACCUAAUAAAGCUAAAAUAGAUUAUAUAAGAUUUGUCUAAUAGUCCCUCUCACUUAACUGAAUUUGAUUUUCACUCCCUAAUCAAAAUGCAUUACGCAUCCCAAAAUUGAACCCAGAAAAUAUAUAUAUAUAUAGAAUUCCCCUUUUGUAAUUAAAGGUUAUACGUCUGAAAUAUUUUACCCUCGAUGAUAAGUCAAUUUUUAGUUUUACAUAUUGGUGAAGCACAUGAGUUUAAUGAAAUUGUGAGUAAGAUUAUUGGGGAAGAAUGAGAAAUUUGGGAGGCAGAUAAGAAAUAGAAAAGACUUGAGGGAGGAGAGUUUGUUGGUAAUUGUGAUGAGAAUGAAAUGAUUGGGACUGUGUAGCAGCCGGUAUGAUGUUAUGAACAAUAUUCUCUGGUGAUUUAUAGCGACAUUAUUUGUAGUUUUGUAUUUAGCUGUGCUGUCACCUCCCACGUUCUUUCUCUUCAUUCAGCUAAAACUAAAACUCUCUCUCCCUCUCCAUAGCCAUGCCCCAUGUUCCGUCAUCUAAUCUCUUCUAUGUCUAAUCUCUCUCUUUAUAUAAUACAUUAUAUAGCUGUUGAUUUGGCAACAAUUGUGAUUAGGGAUAUAAGACCUCCAUUAUGUGAUAACAGUUGAUUAAGACUGUAAUUUGGAGCCAACUAAAGCAAUUACACGAUGAUUUGGUUCGCUGUCACUUUUUAUAUUAUUAUAUCCAAAGAAAUGUGCACUCUUUUUGCACAUCAACGGGCAAUCUUAUUUGAAAAGUAAUAGUAAUAAUAAAAACAAAAACAACACAAUCCAAGGACUGCCUAAAGCUGAUGACGGUAAUUUCAUGAUUAAUUACAAACCACGAUGGGAGAAAAAAGAUAUUUAUUAAUUCUUAAUCCAUCAAACUUGGAUUUGAAGAAUCCGAAAGGACACUUUAUUAAUUGGUCAUCUUCUAUUGGUGCAAAUAUGGAUGAAAUUGCCAGCUAAAGGGGCCGGCUUUGGUUGGUAUGUUUAGAAUUUUUUGCAGUACUUUUAAAGCAAUAUCGAAUUUUAGAAAAUCACAACUUCAACUUCACCUUACCCUUUUAAAAAGAGAGAAAAAAAGAACAGAAAAAAGAAAAAACUUGGUCUUGCCCAAUCCCAUCAUUUCCACCAUACAAAUUAGAUUGGGCCAAAAUGGAGAGAUUACACACCUACUAGUAUUAGUACUAAUUAGAUAUCAAAUAAAAAUUAUGAGUAAUUAACUAACAAACUUAAUCAUCCUAGCACAAUUUUGUCACAUUUCAUUUUUAUAUAUAAAGUAGGUUGUUAUAGCACUCUCAGAAGGUUAUCUUGGAUGAGGAUUUUUAGGUAAGGGUGGAUUUGACUAAAGAUGUUGAACAGAAGCAACAUGGAUUUAUGAAGUCCGAAUUUAUUGGAAAUAUCCAUAGGUUUCCUACCACAUCAAAAUUACUGUUAACAAGCUCCAAAGUGUUAUUAUAACUGAGGUUUUCUAGAUUCACUAUUUAAACCCCACAACAUACUAGACUUGAUGCCAAACUCAUGCCUCAAAGGGCCCCUCAAAUAGUAUCCUAUAUUAAGAAUAUUUUCCUCCCCCUAAUUUUGAAAAAAAGGGUCCGACAAGAAUCAUCUAUUUCUAAGUAAGACGAUUUCUUCAACGAUUUCUUCAACAAUUUCUAAUAGCAGAUCUCCGACAUGAGAAAUGUAUAUCCUUUGAGAAUAACUAUUCAUAAACGUAAGUGCUGAAAGCAAAAUACUACCGCCAAGGUCCCUUCAACCAGAUCUGGGAUAACCACCAAACAUGCUUAUAAUCAAACAUGUUAAUGAAAAGCAAUGCCUUUCGAAGCAAAGUAAUAAAAGUGCCUCUCAAGUGAAAACAAGAACCAGGUAUUUGCAACUAACCCACUUUGACAAAAGGUUGCAAUAUGAGUUUGGCAUUGGCCUGAGAAGUGCCCGAAUGGCUGCAGUUGCUGUUCUUGGCGCUGCAGCAGAAGUAAAAUCCGUUACAAAAUUUUUUAUCAAGGUCAAUACAGAAAGAAUGGUGCUAUCCAAGAAUCGUGCGUUCCUCUUGCCUGAAAACUUGUGAUCUUUCUGUUCCCUGGGUAAACAUAGAAUUUUAGAUGCUCUGUAGAUAGAACCCUCAACUAAGAGGUGCGACAUGAAGCUAAUAAAUAUGUACUACAAAAAAAAGCACACAACCAGUGCCUGUAUACCGGAGACAGAGAUGGCAAAUUACUUUGAGGUGUUAGGUAAGGCUUAUUGAUGAGGCAUAUAGUUGAAGCAGGGUCAGGGCUUGCUCCGUAAUGGCUCGAUUUCUUGCUUGCCUUACCCAAUCAUGAACUACCUCUUCUGCUUUUGUGCCUUUAACACCUUCUUCAAGAGAAUGUGCUGCUUCAGCCAAGUUUCCUUCAGCCAGGCAGGACUCCACUCGGUUGAUGAUAGAUUCGAUCCCAGUACCAGAUUGGUCAGCCUCCUUCACCUAAAGAAGGUCAAGGAAAUUUCAGAAACUACAGCAAUAGGGGAGAGUAAAUGGGAGAUUUAAAGUUCUCUCUAAUUUACCUUAAUCCAGGAUGCUACACGAGCUAAAGAAUGUGCCAAAAUGCCACCACCGCCUGGUGGGAUAAAGCUCAAGUGCCGUAACGGUGCUUUUAAUGCAUCAAACUGCAUGCAAGGAGAUGAAUAAGUUAUAAGCCAGAUACUUUCACCAUCAAAGAUGAACUAGACUACCAAACAGUCAAUAUUGUACAACAAUAUUCCAGAACGAGUCAGAUUUGAUAAAAUCAAAGAAUUACGACGGUUUGAUAACAUUCAAUACAUUUUUGGGGGAAAGAACAAAGGUAAAAGAUAAUAUCUGAUUUCCUCCCCAUAAAGUAAUUCAUGUUGACAGAUAUGGUUGAAAGUAGUAAGAAUUUCUUCGAAAUCAACAACAUUGCUAUUCAAGAACUUUUUUUUUUCUUUAGUUGCCUUUUCUCGUACUUCCAAAUUCCAUCUGACCUACACCAAACUUAAACAGCUAUUCAAUCACGUUUUCACUAAACUUUUGUUUUAAAAAAACAAAUAAUAACUCUUACCAAUGCCAAACAGCCCCACGGUUUUUCAGUAAAGGAAAUGACACUGAUUAUAAUUAGGUAACCUUUUGAGAGAGAAGUAUGCUACAAUUUAUCUUCAAACCAGGGAGAACUUAAUGUACCUUUUGUGUCAUCUGUAACAACGUAUCUGAGCCAUGAUUCAAUAUUUCUUUAGGAAUGGAUGAAAGGAUCAGCUCUAAGUUAGAAUCUUUGUCAAUGCCUUGAAGAUUAACACGUAAUGCUUUUAUUUCAGCCUGGAUCGGUAACCCUCUGGAAAGAGCAUCUUCAAGUGCCAGUGCCCCCUAUAAGAUCGAUGACUUAUAGUUGAUUAAACACUUUGAGAUAAAUUGGAUUGGCUAUGCGCUAGCAAAAUAUAAAAAGGAAAAAAUAUGAUUUACAACCAUGAAAGUUCCUGAGACACCUUGUACUUGAGCACAAUGCUCGUUGAUGGAUUUAUACAUAUAUAAACUUUCUUGACAAAUGAAAUACAAAAGCAAGGGUUUAAAAAUCCUUAGAAAAUGCCAAGUUUAUAAAAAAUACUCUACUGCAGAUUCAAGGGAAGUUUUGGAGAAUUUCCUCACUCUUAAGUACAAUUCUCUCACAAGAUAACUGAGCAAAAACGUACUUCCCUGGCACUUUCUUACUUACAGACUAUAUAUUGCUCAAACCAAAGCUCAUUCUCACUAUAUUCUCAGGGGCCCAUCCCUCUAACUAACUAAUAACAAUUUAAUAUUCCUCAACUGCCUACACUUAUACACAUGCUUAAUGGGGGGGUCUAUCAUAGACUCAUAGUCAGCACAAAUAACCAAAAGAGGCUAAUUACAGAAACCUCGACUAAGGAAUCUCCAAUUGAAUCUUACAGGCUAGAACAUCCACCCUUGACAAAAGAAGAGAAUGAGAUUAUUCAAGCAAGAAUACUAUGACAAGCAAUUUUACAAUGUCAAAACCUGUCUUCAUUCUAAGAACAACCUCGGAUCUUAUUUUCAAAAGAAGCCUCACAAAACGUAACUAAAAAAAAAAAAACAAAUACCGUUUCCAAAUUUCAGCGUACACCCUAAUUUUAUGUUUUUUAUGGAAACAUACUGGUUUCAAACUUUCUAAAAUGCCUACAAAUAUGUAUGUUGUUGCGGAGAGACCUAGAACUAUUUUAACCUGGAAGAUUUUAAACGUAGUUUAAUCCCAAUGUUCAUCAGUUUCCCUGUUCACAUGCAAAUGAUGUAAAUCUGAUAGAAGAAUGAUCACCUUCAAUAGUACCCAAACUACUAAUAUUAGAUGCACAAACGUGCACCAGUAUGUAGGAAGACAAAUCUUUCUCCAAAAGUAAGUUUAACUUCAGUUUCUUCUAUACUACAAGUAAGAAAUGAAAACAUCAAUAAGUAGAAGUGCGAACUUACCAAUGCAAGUUUCUGAGCAGAGUGACUUUGACGAGCUUCUUCAGACCUUGCAUAGAAUGCCAUGCAAAGGGCAUUAAUCUGCAAAAAGAAGUUUCACACAUAAACAGAUUAUUGGUGGUAGAUUGAUUGCCUGGAUUCAGGCCAAAGGACAUGGAGCUAUAUUGGAACAUGCACAUCAUUGACAAGAAAAUAAACUAUUAUAGCAACAAAAGAAUUGCCAAAUUGAUGUACAGUUGACGUGUUUCUUCAUUAUAGUGUAAAAUUUUCAUCAAGCAAUGUCCAUAAAAAUCGGUGAGCAUCUUUCAUCCUAUGAAGGAAAAACUUCCCCCCGAAUGGUGAUAUCGUAAAUGAAGAACUAAACAUUUUUUUUCAACUUUUUUUUUCUUGUUAUGAAUGUCAUUUUUUAAGGAGGCAUGUUAGGUCCUAAUAUUAUCUAUAACUUCCACUUUGAAUAUGCAUGAUGUUUUUAGCUCAGGUAAAUCAAUAGCUUGUGCUAUAUUGCUUACAUGAAGAUUUGCUUCAGCCAUUUUUUCUAUCUGGGCAGCCUUCUCACUUGCAAUUGCUGCAGCUAACUCUGCUUUUGCCAGAUCUUGAAGUUUUCUCAACUUUGAUUCUAACUCAUUUUCCUGCAAUGAAAUCAUUUUUAAAAGUAUUGGUAAAGGGUCAGCAACUUGAGCUUGUUUGUCAUUUAAGAAACACUCCUACCUUCUGUUCAAGUUCCUUCUGAAAUUUAUCUUCCAAAUUCUCUUGUAGUGACAUCAGAGCAGCAGCUGCUUUUGUUUUCUCUCGUUUUAACUCCUGAAAAUAGUUAAAAUCCCAAGAAGCCAAUUAUAAGAAUGAGAGAAACACAACAACAGUGUACAGAUGUACGCUCUCUGUUCAGAUGAUACAUCUAUAAGAGACUCCACGUGCGUAAUUCAAAAAUUGAGAAUUCAACCUUGUCCAACAUAGCAGCCUUUUCUGCAUGCAUAAAUUCCCUAACCCGAGCAUCCCUCAAUGCUUCGUCCAUCUUGUUCUGUACAGAACAGAAACAUAAAUCACAGUCAAUAAUAGUCGCAUUUCAUAAAAAUUACAAUCGUUUCACGUACGAUAUAAAAAAUAUCUAUCGAUCCAUACCCACAGUGCUGUCUUUUCAUCAGCAAAACGACGAUAAUCCAGCUCAGCUUGCCGCUUUUCAGCAGCAUGAAUAGCUUCUAAGAAAUCAAUGACCAAUUUCCCAUCCUUGGAUAUGAAGCCAUCAUUCAACUCCUCAAUUUCAGCAAUUAAAGCCUGGCAUCUUGGAAACAAAACUUUAGAUCUUGUCUAAGACUCCUUUACUCAAUUCCAGAAAAAUGGACAUCCAUCAAGAAGAAGGAAAAAGUAAAUGACCUCUGUUCCUUUGUAAAACUUGUCAGUUCCAUCUUUGCUACCACCACCCAAGGAAGUCAUGCCAGCCUCACCCUUCAAAUGGUAGGCCUCGAGAAGAGAACUUGGCUCCCCUGUAUCUUCACUUGUAUCAUUCAACUCCUGGAUAGAAUACGAGCAGAGACAGAUUCACUUUAAGUUACACAUCUUUACUAGAAAUGAAUAUAUUUGGAUAAGAGAUUAAUAUAUUUAAGAAACAAAAGUUCAGAGAUGAUAUCCUGUGAAUCUAGAAUGUCUAAUUCUAAUGAACCAAUCAUCCUCAUCAAACUUCAUUUCUGGCCCGAAUACUAUUAGGCAAGGGAUUCUAGGUACCUGGUAUUUUUUCUAACUUGCCUCCUGUAAUAAACGUUUCAGUAAUCCCUUUCUGACACUGGAGUGGACGAAUAAUAAGUUGGAAUAGACCAAAUAGGUUCGUCUGCUGUAUGAUGAGAGGCUAGUCAUCUUCUUCAACACCCUAUGCAAUAUUUACAAAUUUUAACCUUCUUAUUAAUCCAUAAGGAUUAUAGACCUAUAAUCUGGUCUCUCCUUCUGCAAAGUCCUCAUCAUAUUUGAGAAGAUUUUUAUCAUGAGAGAUGAUGACUUGGUUUUGCCACUAUCUUGCUAACACGUGUUUCAGUUUCACCCACGUAUCAAAGAUAAGGGGGUUUGGACAUUUGAUUGUUCCAAGUCUUUCUCUUGUGAGCUGGUUUCUGGAAGGUUACACUCAUGAAGAAAACUAAAUUUUGCACGCUUGAUGCCUGGUGAUUUAUAGGAGGAUUAAUCCCAAAUCUCCACAGGUGUUCCUAUUUUACCAGUUAAUUGAAGAUUAAGAGGAUCUACACAUUUUUUUACUUUUCCCUUUUCCCAUAAUGAUUUGGUUUAGGUUUUGCAAUUGUUUGGCAUUAUUUUGGCCCCAUUUUGUAAUUUUCAUUCUAUGAUUGAAGAAGUUCUAGUAGAUCCUUCAGUUCAGGAAAGAGAAAUAGACAAUUGUGGUGGCAGGUUUUUAAUCAACAUAAGAUAUAUUUGGUAGAGAGAAACGUGAGGAUGUUUCAAUUAAGGGUCCUCAGAUAAAGUGUAGCCAGACUCAAAAUUAAGUUCCUCAUAGAGGAUUUUUUGUUGAAACAUUUUUAGUGAUUUUACUCUCAUUUCAAUUACCAAUAAUUAUACCAAUUUUUUCUAACUGUUUUCCUUCUCAUAACCCUUUUAUCUUGGCGUGGGCUUUUUUAUAUACAGCCUCUGUUUACUUUCUUCCCUGCCUCUUAAUAUAAGCUGGUUCACUAUUAAAAAGAAUUUGCAUUGAGCACGUGCAUUGUAUUGUAUGACUUAAACCUUCAAGCUACCAUUACAUCAACAUUUGAUCUGAAUGGAUAAAUUGAAGUUACCUUCAGUUUCUCUUCUGCAACUGUAUCUUCUUGUGGUGGUAUUCUGAUAUCAAUCUGUGCGGGUUCUGCAUCUGUCUUGCUAGAUAUUGGUGAAGUUUGAACUUCAUCGUGAGGCCAAUCCCUAGUACAAGACUCUGCGCUUUGCAUGUUCAAGUUUUCAUCUGUGGAUAUUUUAGAUCCAAGAUUCUCAUCCUCUACUUGACUGCCACUUUGAGUAAAUUCUGGCAAGUUUUCCUCCUCGAUCUUUUCAUGUGGCAGUGUCCUGGAACUGUCUUCAAACUGACCAUCAUCUUUCUCUUUUCCCCAAUCUUCAAGAUGAGGAAGGUGGGUAUCUGUCUCAACUUUCUGCUCAGUAGACUCCACAAUGGGAUUUGAGCUCUCGGUUUCUUCUCUAACACUAUUCGAUUUUUCGGUUUCCUCACUACUCGGUAAAUCAAAUUUCUGCACCACCAAAGGUUGGACAUUGUCUGAAUCACUUUUCUGAACUGUUUUAGUUGACUCUACAGAAGAAUUCUGCUCUAUAUCAACAGUUCGUUGGUCUAGAUAGCCGGCUUGGUAAGCUGCAAAAACAGCAGCACCAAUAACAACACUGCCAAAGACAACUUUUGGGAUGGAAUUUCCAGAAUUAGGUGGCACAUUUGUAGGUUGUGGUUUCAGAUUUUGUUUGGGCGCAGAUGAAAAUUCCCUUAUCUUAGAAAUACAUUGGGGUGUAUGCCAACAUUGCACCUGCAACAAAAACCUGUCAAAGAAUCAGAAAAUAUUUGAAAAAGUACACCAUUAAACCACAAAAAAUAUCAGGAUUGCAUAGUUUGGUCCCUAUAUUUUAUUAUAGACUAGUUUUGCAACACACUCUGUUCGUCCUCCCAUUUCAUUUGUCUCACAGCUUUUGGGCACAGUAAAAUUAAACAUAAGAAUAGAAACAUGUCAAUGGGUUUAACAUUUCUUAACACUGUCAAUUAAUUACAACAGCAGAAGAAAGAAUGGUAUAAAUAGAAAGUUCGUGUAUGUUAUAUGAGAAGGCUUCAAGUAGUCAGUUAAUAAAGACAGCACAACUGCAUCACAAGCACGUAGCAGGCAGAUGAAAAACUAUAUGCAUGUCUUUGCUCCCAAGUCAAAAAUAAAUUUCCAAGCAUUUAUUUUGCAGAUGCUCGUACUACCAAGAAAGAAUAGCAUAAAUAGCAAUUUAGUGUAUGUUAAAAGAUCCCAAUGUUGUACAUUUCCACCCAACUGCAUCUACGAUAACAUAUGUGAAGAACCAAGCAUGUGGAUUUAUAUGCUUAUAAGUCGAAUACACACUUCUCCAAAUAUCUGUUUGUAAAUUAUCUCAGCGUUUGGAUUGUACAAAACGAAUUCUGAUCGCAAAAAUGGGAAAGUCUUAUUUACGAAAUUCUACUUGCCUGGGGUGAACUCUGCCUCGGAGUCCUUCCACCAGAUUGACGAGAUGAUAAUUUCAGAAUUGACCUGCAGACAACAAUGCGAUAAAAAUACUAUCUAUAAGCAUCACCCGCUGUAACCGAACCCAGCGAGAUCCAAAUUCAUACAUAACAUGGCCAUUGACAUUGAGAUUUAUUAUCAUUUAUUAGUAGAAAAUUCCUAUUGCUGAGAAUGCCAAAUUAACCCUCGGGAGAUUAAAGAAUAAGAAUCUGGCAAUUUUCAACCAUUCAAGAAAACACUGCACUCGAAGGACAAUCGAAAUGACUAAUUAACGAAGAACAUCAACAUCACGAGCAAAAUAAAACAUAGUUGAAACAUAGUUCAAGAACAUUUCCGUACCUCCGCCACAUAGCGUAUACCUAUUCAGUGAAAACGGCGAGCGACGAAGAUAUUUGAGCGAAUAACCAAGUAAGCGAUUAAAUGCAAGUUGGGCAGUGGGUGAUGGAAAGUCCGGCCUGGUAGGAGGGUGGAACAACGGGUUCGAAAACUCAAAUUAACAAUCGGUUUACCGGAGGAAGAUCGCCGGAGACGAAGGAAAACAUCCGAUGACACCGGAAUUUUACCGCCUAAUUAGAUGUGUCCGACCAUCCGCAAGGAAUUAUUCCGCGAGUUGCAAUAGAUUCUACAAGGCCCAUUUAUAAAGUUGGGCCUUGAGCCCAAUAGAUUUGUAGGAGGUUGAUGAGCUGGGCUGAACGAAUCUGACAAGACUGCCCUUAUUCGGGUCCAUUGUGAUUCUAAAGGUAUGACUCGAUCAAUACUUUGUAGAUGUAAAUUUGAUAGACGAGCUAGUUUUUUUUGCAACAACAAAUACAGCCUUCUUUUUAAAUCUCAAUUGAAGCAAGGUAAUCUUUUAUGAUAUAACAUACGUGUAGACUUGAUUAAAGAAACAAACAAAAAAUUAGGGGAAAAAACUAAAGAGAUUGUAUUUUCUUCAACUCAAAGUUUCCCCAACUAAUAAUACUGUUGUUGCUAGUUAGGUUUCUCCCACCACAAGAACUGAUAAUGAAUUUAAUAACUGUAAAAAAAUAAAAUUUGGGAUAAUUCUUCUGUAAUAGUAUUUCAAGUGACCGAUACCGUUUUAGGCUAUUUUUAAACAUAGCAUAAUGAAUAAACAUAUAUAUUACACCAACACAAAUUACUAUUUUGUAUUUAUCAUGAUAGCAGUUUAUCUUGGUAUAUCACAUGUAAACAGUUAUAUUUUUUUAUAUUCAUAAAUAUUAUAAAAAAAACGUGCAUUAAAAACACUUUAUCCUUUUUCAAAAGUAACAAUAAUAAAUAUUUUUCUCUAAUAAUAUUCGAAAUUAUUUCACAACCUUUAAAGAUUGUGUGGAUUGCCCAUGUGUUCAAGCAUCUUUAUGUCUAAAAUAGAUUCGACUUAGUUAAACUAUAAUUGACCAAUCAUUUCUCUCUAACAGUCAAUGAUUUGAUUUUUCAUUCUAUGAAUGUUGAAAACAUAUACAAGGGUGUAAAAAUUUGUUUAAAUGAUAAAACGAUUGAAAUAUUUACAAACAUAACAAAAUUUAAUAGUUUAUAAAUUUAUCCGCAUCCAUUUGACAUUUAUUAGAUAAAUGAUAAUAAUCUAUCAACAUUUAUUAUUGAUAUUUUACUAUAUUUAUAAUUUUUUUUUGGUUCAUAUCACUUUAUAGGAAGUGGUUAUAUAUAUAUAUACAUACACUUAAAAGCAUCAAAGUGGAGUGGUAGGGGCCAUGUCACAUGGGAAGAACAAAGAGGCAUCCCAAAUUCAAAGAGUGAACCAUGCAUGUCAUGUCACAUAAAGCAUUAAUUUUCUUUUAUAAUAUUUUGUUUCCUGUUUUUAGUUAAAAAGAGAUAUUUGAGAUAAAAUCCCACAAAAGUGAUAUCUAAUGAAUUUCACUAUCAUAUCCAAAAACUCAAUUAUUAGUUUUCAAAACGCACACACACACAAUUAUCAAAAUGUUUCUAAACAUAUAGAAAAAAUCUACUCACGUUUUUAUACUAAAAUUUCUUUUGAACAUUACUGAGGUUGUCUGUCUCUAAUGGGUGAAUUUCUUUGACAUACUUAUUUCAUUCUUUCAGCAAUCCUUCAAUUUAGAAAUCUAAACACUUUCUCAGAGCUAGAGAUGCAUCAAUCAAAGACUAAUCUUGACAUUUUUCUAAUUCUUUAUUACAAAUUACCAUAUUUUUCACCAAAUAUAGAAUCUAUAACCCAACUAUUUUUUGCUAUUCAAAAAUCGUUUAGAGAGAAAUUGCACAAUUAAGUCCUUGAGGAAAAUCGGCAAAUGGUACAUAACAGCCAUGAGGGUGGAAUAGCUUCCAUAUGAGAACCAAGGCGAUGGCUUCGUUUUAAGAACAGCGGCGACUGUCUUCUCGGCAAACUCGGCAGUAGGGGUGGCGUUAGAGCCCUGCGAGGCAUUGGCCCUGGCUAACAUUGCAGCUUCAAAGGGCUUGAAUAGCUUCAACUCAGGCAUCUGAUUAAAGUUGGCAAUGGCAGAGUUUCCAAUGUUUGAUUUAAUGGCUCCAGGGACAACGUUGAUAACGUCGAUUCCAAAGGGCUUCAGCUCCAUCCUUCAAUGAUGAAAAUAUCGAUCAAGUCAACCAACAUCACAGUGUGAAAUAAAUGCGAAAAUCAAAUGAAAUAUGUCAGCAAAUUGAAUUGGAUAUUCAUUGCGUUUAUUCAAGUUUCUAUCAUGGGCCGUGGCCCCCUAAAAAGCAAAAAGAAAAAAGAAAGUUUUAGAUUUUGAACUUUAAUGUCUUGGAAUAACUUUUCUAAGCAUUGAAAAAAAGAAAGUUUUUUUGGAGGGGUAUUUUUUUGCACAAGAGUUGAGAGUAACAACAUAGAAACAGAAGUAGAAGUGUGGAAUGGUAAACUUCCCCUCUUUAUUUAAACUAAAAAAUUUGUAGGCUUUCACAACUAAAAAACAUCAAUAACCCGUACAUUUUACUCCCAUCAGUUUACAAGUUUCUAGUUUUCAUAACUCACAACUUCACUCUUUGCCUCAAAGAUCGUCUUAUAAAACAAUGUUCUAUAAAGUCAUUUCAAACCGACUUUCAUGAAGAAAUAAGUUGUCUUGAAUCAACAAUAAGUAACCCAUAAAAAUAAACCCAGCAGAAAAAGAAAUAUUUGCUUACCCAUCAGACUUUUGUGGGUUGUUUCUGUUUCUACAGUUCUACUUCAGUGCAUUGUAACUUAAUAUAUUCUAUACAUAUCUUUGAGAUCUUUGAGCUGCUAAAAAGAUACACUAGAAAUUCAAUAGGACCCCGGCACUUAUUUUUCUCAUAUGAAUACUCAAUUUAAACUUUAAGCAUAAAGGUCUCGAACCCACUACAUAAUCAAACAAGCAAAAACAUCAAAAUUUCAAAUCCAACUAAAAAUUAUUCAAAGAUAGAUAAACAAAGUGGAAUGAUGCUCAUCCACUCACAAGAAUGGCUACAAGAAUCGGAACUCAAAUCCAUAGAAAUAUUAAUUUAAUCCCUUGAUUUAAGGUAAGAAUUGCGGUUGAAAGUUAAACUCCACCAACGAGCUUUAUUUGAAUUUUGGUUCUUUAUUUUUAAAAAUUAAUAUUUAUAAACCCUAUUUUCACCUCUAAUUUUCUUCCUAACUCGUUUCUAAAAAAUCUAAACCACUCAAAAACCAAAAAAAUAGUUUUAAAGUAUGUCUGAAAACUUUUUAGUUCUUUUGUUUUUGGUCCUCGAACAAUGGAUUUGUUCUUUUAACAACUUCCCUGUCAUACUAUUUAUCAAGAAAGACCAAAUUUUCUUAGUAAAUUUUCAAAUUGCAAAAACUAUCUUUCUUUACUUUUCAAAAUUUAGUCUUGGUUUUUAGAAUUGCAAAUUGCAAAAACUUUCUCUACCUUUCAAAACUUAGUAUUGGAUUUUAGAAUUAAUGAUAAAAGGUGGAUAACUAAAUAAAAAAACCAAUAGAUGAAAAGUAGAGAGUUUGUAAACUUAAUUUUUAAAAAGCAAAUUGCUAUCAAAUAGCUUUAGUAGUCAACUUUCAUCCCAGAAAAAGACUAGUGAGGUUCAAAUUAACUUAAUAAACUAUCACUAGCGAGGGUCUGGAAGAUCGAGAUAAUUAACUAAGGCAAGGCAAAACAUUUCGUGCAUGAUCAGGAACACAAAACAAUUGUUAAUUAUACCAUUAGAUGAGAAUCAGAGAGGUAUAUACGAACCUCAGACAGUCAGAAAUGGAAUGAAUAGCAGCUUUGGAUGCAGUAUAAGCACCAGCCCAUGGAAGAGGCGCCAAUACGGUGACACUUCCCAAAUUCACAAUCUUCCCCUUUCUUCGUGAUGCCAUGUGAGGAACCACGGUUUGAAUCAAUCUCAUAGUCCCUGCAAAUGCAAUUCUCCAAUUCAUAAAUACUAAUUUAACAUAAUACAAUAAUCCACUCCUUUCCAUAUUGGAGUGUUCAUGUUCAAAUUUUCCCCACCUCUAACUCUGCUUUCUACAUUUCACAUACCAAACAAACAGCUUUGUUUCUAACCAGUGGCGAAUCAGAAAUUUUAUUGACUAAGGCUUUAUAGACUAUUAAAAAUAAUUUGGAAGAAAAUAUAACUAAUAGGACUUGAACCUGAGUAUAGAGGGACUAAAUAAUUUCAUUGUUCACCAACUUCUUAAAUUGGUACUAUUUCAGUUUUCUAUAUAUAUAUAUUGUAAUAUAAAGAUCUUAAGUUGAUGGAAGAAAAUAUAACUAAUAGGACUUGAACUUGAGUAUAGAGGGACUAAAUAAUUUCAUUGUUCACUAACUUCUUAAAUUGGUACUAUUUCAGUUUUCUAUAUAUAUAUAUUGUAAUAUAAAGAUCUUAAGUUGAUGGGACUCGAGCUCCUGUACCUAUGCUAAAUCCACCCGUGUUUGCCAGGAAUACAAUUAUAUACAGUAGCAGAAGCUGACGAACACAGUAGAGCAGAAGAUAGGAUGAUAAAGUCUUCAGCGUUUAUUUCUAACCGACCACUGGAUCAAAUGUUAAUCACAAAACAAUAUCAAACUCAAAUCAAUUCGAAAUCUAAAUAAGCGGCUCAGUCAAUUCACAGUUUCUAAUCCCUAGAUUCGAUAUCAUUCAAUUCUGAAGGAAGAAAAAUGAAAUGGCGAAUCUGAAUAUUGAAAUACAAUUAAUUUCGCUGAUGGAUAAUUUGUUAGAGACCGAAGCUCACCGAAAACAUUGGUAUUGAAGGCGUUCUGCAUAGCGGAAAGUUGAACCUCGGCAAUAGGUCCAAUACAUUGAACGCCAGCGUUGUUCACCAAAAUAUCGAUUCGACCGAAUUUUUCGAUGACAAGAGACGUUAAUCGCUCGACGCUUUGGUCGGACAGGACAUCGAGUUCUUGUAAGAAAAAUCUGGGAUCGUGCUCCAGGUCCGCCAUUGAGGAGCGGGACCUGCUGGUUGCGACUACCAAACAGCCCUGGUCGGCGAAGGCUCGGGCGAGAGAGUGGCCUAUGCCUCCGUCGGAACAGCCGGAGAUGACAACUACUUCUUUUCCGGCAAAUUCCAUAUCCUUUUUAUCUUCUUGAAAAGUGAACGAACCCCGCCCUCCUCCAAAUUAAACCGAUUGAUAAAUCGGAGAUUGAAGUGUUGGGUAGCUCCAAGUACAUCAAUAAGAGCAAUUGCUCACUCGUCUGCACCUAGGCCCUGAAGACUUCCACAUGGCCGGUCUUUGUGGUGCCACUUGGCAACCCCACAUGGACGCUUUCCCUUUUUUCCCUCCUUCAUUUACGGUUAUUGUAUUUCUUGGGUGAUUUUAAAAAAAAAUUGGGAUUUUGGUUUUAAAUUUAUACAUAUAUAUAUGCUCAAUCUCUUCUCUCAUUUAUACAACACUCUUUAUUUUUAAUUAAUCAAUUAAAAAGUAAUAUUUUUAAAAAAUUGAAAUUAUUCUUACCAUGUUUUUUUAUUUAUGUUGCUAAUUCAUUUUCGUUAACUUGUGUUAAAUUGUUUAUGAAUUGUUGAUAUAAGUGGUUGAAGUUUCUACGAGUUACGUGCUGGUUUAUAGGAGUUGAAUGAGUGAGCAUAUGUGAGUUUUGAUUUGAAAGUAUCUGUUGAUAUAUAAAAUCCUAAUAAAUUUUAAACCUUUACUAAAAGUAAAAAUUAGAUUCCUUUGUUGAAGUCCAUCGAUAAUAGACUAUUUUAGUGAGGAGUAUCUAUAAGUAGUAGAUAUGGUAGAAGUCUUUUGGUAACAAAGUUUAACACUUGAUUUUAUUUAAAUUGCAAUUUUGGUUUCUUAAAUUCAAACCAUAGUUGGCAUUGGCUCACCGUUGGAAGGACGAGUAAAUGUUUAACUACAACAUUUAUUGCAUCCUUUUAUUUUAUUUUUCAGUAUCCAUUGUUUGUUUUAUUUGUAAAUUGUGAAUAAAACUAUGGCAAGAGGUAAUUGAAAUGAAACCAUAGCAAAUUUUAUAGAAUUAAAAGCCGUGGCACAAUGCAUGCAUUCAUUUAUCUAAAUAAUUCAAUUACAUGAGUACAAAAAAUAAUACAUUUUUUAAACGUAAAUGUUGAUAGAUUUUCAUUAGUGGAUAGAUUCUCAUGUCACAUCAUACUCUAUAUCGUUCAUAUCAAUAAUAUAAAUUUUUCGUUGAUAGAUUUUGUUAUAUUUUCUAUUUUUUAAAAAUAUUAUUAUACAAUUGUAUACCAUCUCUAAUAUUAUUAUGCCCUCGAUCAUAUCAAUCACUUUUAUAGAUUAAAUAAGUAUACAUCAUUAUAAUAGAAAUAAAAGUUCACUUUGUAUAAAAUUGUUUUAAAUUUCAUAAUACUAUGCAUAGUUUAUAUAUAGUUUAGAGAAUGUGUUCAUGAUACAUUCACAAAUAUUUAAUUGAAAAGAAUGUUAUUAAAAAAUAUAUAAUAUUUGACAAACACUCAAAAUUAGUCUUAAAACAACAUAAUCCAAACAUAACCUAAAUGGUUUUACUAAUUGAUAAUUUGUUUGCAUUUACUUGCUCAAGAAGGCCAUAAGUUUAGAAAUCAUCCCUAGGAACAAAAAAACGAAAAGUUAGAAAUUAUCCAAAGAACUAUUUUCCAUAUUGUUUGUUGGUUCUCAAAAAAAUAUUGAUUAGGUUAUUACAUUUUGGGACAGCAUACAUCUAAACUGACAAACUAAAUUUAGUAGUUUAUUAGUCAAUAAUUGAGUAAUAUAUCAUUAUUGACCACAACAAAUAAUGGCCUACCUCUUCAAAACAAUACUUCAAAUACAAAGUUUCCCCGACAAACAAUUACAUCGAAAAUUACAUCGAACAAAUCCAUAUUUAAUCUCCAUUUUUUUCAAGACUUUAGGAAAUGACAAUGCUAUUCCCCCCAUAAAUUGACCUAUAUAGAUAUAGAUAGAUAGUAUUUAAUUCUAAACCCUCUUAUUUCUAUCUAAACACUGGUACCAACAAGAAGAUGCUGUCUCCUUAUUUCGAGAAAAAAAAAAAGAUAUUGUCGAUAUUGUCUAAAGUCUUCCCUAAACGUGAAUUGAAGAUAAAAAGACGAAAUUUAUCACUAUAAUUGAAGGGAAAUUAAUUUAGUUUCUAUUGUUUCAUAAGUUUAGAUUUAGUCUCUUUUAAGUGCAGAAAGUCUAAGAGAAAUCCUUAUAAUUGAAUGAAGCUAUCACAAAUAAUCCUUGUUAUUGAGACUAAAUUAUAGUUUUCUUAAGUUAAAGUGACCAGUUUUACAAUUUAGAAUAGGAUUAGAAUGUUGGAUCUCAUUACACCAUGGUUGUACUAAAAAAUUACAACUUUGUUUUCAAGAUAUAGGGACAAAUUCUACAAUUGAAUGCAUAAUUACUACGAAUUAAUUAACCAGUUCUCCCAUGUUCAGAAGUAUCAGAAUCAUUUUUUGACUUGUUAACGUGUUUUAAUGAACUAGAACUAUAUUUCAACAACGCUCCAAAAUUCACACCAAAAAUGGAGACGAAGAGAGAAAGAAGAAGAUAUAACCCAUAAUUUGUACCUUCCUUAGUUUGAUUUCUAGCCAGAUCACAUCACCGAAGGAAGUUCAAAAAUUUACACAAGACGUAGAAAAAGAAAAGAAAAGAAAAAAAGCACUAAAAGCUUCGACUCUGGCAUGAAAUUUCUAUUGAGAAAGUAAAAGCCAGAGGAGGCCUGUUUUCAGGAAUUAGAGGUGGCCUGAAGCCCAAAUAGGGUACCCGGAUGGACUUUUUUACUGGAUUUUCCGGCAAUUCCGCCGGCGGCGUGAUGGGAAGUUUUUGGAGGUUUGACGGAAUCUUCUCUCCUGCCAGAUCUCUCCUGCUCCAUCCUCUGCAGUUUUUCCUCUGCUUUCUUUUUCAUUACAUAAACCCUAGCGCAGCUAGCUCCCAUGGAGGACAUGGUUUAUACAGAAGAAAAGGAAAUGAAAUGAAGAAAUUUCUACAAAUGUUUCAGUGGGCUUUUAAUUUGUUCAAUCGGUGGGUAUUGAAUGGCUUAAACCCUUGUUGUAUUUAUAGUGGAAAACGUGUUUGGUGGCCUUGGUGUUUCGUUGGCCCCUAGCGUAGGGGUCAGAUAACCAUAACCCCCAUUUUCUGUACCUUAUUUGGAUUGGACAAUUUCUUUUUAUUUCAAUCAAAUUUAAAUUAAAUUAAAUUUGCAUUUUUGUUAUUUAUACAAUUUUGCGUUUAACUUAAUCAAUGUAUUGUUCAAAAGUUGAGAUCUGCAAAUUCAUUGUUUCUUCCAUUCUAAUUUACAAAGGAUAAGUUUUGUUUUUAAUUUGAUCUGAUUUUUAGUUUAAUUUUAUAGUUUUUAUUUAAUUUUCUACAAUUUAAGCUUCUUUCAAAAUGCUAGCGUAGUUUUAAUUUGAUAUGGUUUGUUUCUUUAUUAAACUUAUAUCACUUCAUUACUUAAAUAGAUAUGUCAUGUUGCAAUCAUGUGCAUAGUUUGUGAAGUAAAAGUCAUGUGAACUUGGUUAAAUUUGUUAUGAACUCAACUUAAAAUUAAACUUUUUUAUUUAUUUGUUUUGACUCCAAUAAUACACUUGCAUAGUUGAGAUGUGUUUAGAUGUGUUUUACUGUUCAACUGUAGUUAGAAGUUUGUAUCUAAAUUUAUACUACAAGACAAAAGAUUAAUAAAGCAAUUGAGAACACAAAUGGAUAAGCAGUUGACUUAAUACAACUCUAAUUAACCAUUACAAGAUCUAAAUUCUCCUAAUUUAAAUGAUACAAGCAUAACAUUGUAUAAAUUUAAAUCUACAACUAAUUUGAAUCUUUCCAUUUACAUUAUGAAAAACACACUAUAUAAAAACUACAAUCUUUCCAUUUACAUUAUGAAAAACACACUAUAUAAAAACUACAACAGUAUAAUUAAUGUUUGAAUUCAUAAACGAAUCGGUUUAUAAUUUUAAUUAGAGUUUCCUUUUAGAAUCGUCAAUAUCUACUUUAAUCAUCUUCAAACUAAUGGAUCGAUGAUUUUCAAAUGUAAUCAUACAUAGAUCAAUUAUCUUUUUAAAAAAAUCUACAAAGUUUGAUACAGUAAUAAAAAAGUUAAUUAUUAGUUUAUGAUUUCACUAAAUUCAAUGUUCAAUUUUGUUUAGUAUGAUACUUGAUAAAAGAUUAUUGUCUUUAUGGAAAAAGAUCACAUGAAUUAUGAUUAAUUAAAUGAAGCUGAAUUUCAAAUUAACCAAUUAAUUAAUCACAACAAUACAAAUGAAUUUACACUAAAUUUUAAAGAGGUAUUUAAAAAUGGGAAGAAAAAAGAGAGAGAGAGAGAGAAAAGAAUUGAGUAAUAGACGCUCAAUAAUGGAAUAUUUAAUUGGAAUCACCAAGAUGGAGAAAACGGUUGAAAGACAACUAACACCGUUUACCGGGAUGGUUUUUAAAAACACAAAGUACACAGAAACGAAUAAAACGGUGGGAAACCCCAAGCUCUGAGGAAAAUAAAAAAAGAAACAAUGGCUUGUAUUAGAUGCGGCACUCACACCACUCCAACUGUGAGGUCGCCCCACGUCAGCUAAAGAUAUUAUAGAUGGAGGCGGCCAAAGGUUCUGCUUACGUGUCUGUUGAUUAUUCGCCCGAAAUUUCCAACAUAACAAAAAAGUGCUCUUCUUUUUUCUUAAUAUAUAUUUUUUUAAAAUUAUGGAAAUUAAAUGUUGGAGAGAUAAGAGUUUGAUUGAGGUCACAAUCUGAGUCGUGGACCGUGAAGGCACCUUUUUUCUUUCUUUUUCUCUCUUUCUUUAUUUACUUUGAAUUAUUUCAUUUGUCAUUAUUACCUUGCACUUACAAAAGUACCUAAGUCUAUUUCUUCAUUAUGCACCCACUCAAAUGCGUUGUGCCGACGGGCUAAUUAACAUCACCAUUCUAGAUAUAUCAUCAAAGAUUUUCUUUAUUAUUCAAAUUCAACAUUAUCCAAGUACUGAACUUUUUCCCCCAUUUGACGUUAGAUACUGUGGGUACAAUUUGAUGUUAAAUCCCACUAUAAUAUUUCAAUUCACCAUUUGUUCAAGUGCUGAUUUUUAUAGGAGUUAGAAGGUUAUAUGGUUGAGUUAUGAAUGGAAGGAGGAGAAAGAUUAUAAUAUGAUAAUGAUUCACAAUUAUAAAGGGGAAAGUCAAAUUAAAGUAAAGAUUGAAUGGUAAUGACGAAAAUAAUAUAAUUUAAUAAUUGAAAAAAAGAAUUAAUUUAAGAAUGAAAAGGAAUUGGCAUUAUGUGAAGAUACUGAAUGAAAUGGAAGGGAUGGAUGAUGAAGGGUACGGUGGUUACGGAGUACGGAAAUUCCAUUAAGGUGAGAAGAAUCGGAGAUUGAGAUUAGGUUGUCUGCCUUUUUCUACUGUUUCGUAUCGUUUUUUGCUUUGAUGUUUGUCCUCACUUUUUAAUUCCUUUUUCUUUUUUAAUUCUUUUUUGGAAGAAAAUUCCUAAAGGUUAGGUUUAAAAAAGGUUAUCUCUUACGUCCCACUAAAACCGUCUUCGGCCGAAAGGCCCAUUGGUUUUUGUCUUUCUCGCUUGGGCCGCACCCAUUUUUCCACUUCUGACACCAAACUCUCUAAACAAAUACAGAACAAUUUUGGUGAUAAAAGUGUUUAACAUAAAUAUAAUAUGUUCGACAAAUUUUGUUAUAUUUUUAUUUUUAAAAAUGUUUUUAUAUAUGUUAAUGCUUUAACAAAAUUUGUAAAAUAAUAAUAAAAAUAUUUUCUCGAGAAAAUAAUAAAUAACAUUUUUUUAAAAGAUAAAUCAACAAAAACAAUAAGAGUAAUUUAGAUGCAUUGAAAGUGCACAAACAAUUUUGUGUAUGUCAUUAACUAAUUACUUCCUUUUGGUAGAAGAAGGACAUUUCUGUAUGUAGUUUUGGAUGCUUGGUACGCACAGGCAUACAUUUCGUUCUUCAACUCCAAAUGAUUUCGUAUAUGAAUCGUGUCUUUUAAACUAAGAGUAUAUGUGUUGUUUAUCUAAAUAGUUGAAGGUUGCUAAUGACAUUCUUCUUCCCUUCCUCAAGCAUGUAUCCUACUAAUUAAGACUUGCCAUACAUAUGUUCAUGCCUUUACAUUAGUAAAGGUCUAGGUUCCUUUCCCUGGUGAAAGACUUGAGGAAUUUUUUUUGAAAUGAUUGAUUCUCAGGUAAAGUGACAUCUAUUUUAUCUAUGUAUAUUAUCGAUUUGAAAAAUUACAAUGAUGGCCUUUCAACAAUACAAGUUAAAAUUACACACCUAAAACUUUAAACUUAAUUCAUCAUCCUCUCAAACUUACAAAGGUUAGUUGUUCGUGAUAACUAUUAAAAACAAAAAUGGGCCAUGCGUGUGUUAAUAAAAUGUUAGGCAUGAUAGUUGAUUUCAUAACAACAUAUAGUUAGUAAUGAAUGAACAAUGAAAAAAAUUGUUGUGUGUGACAGAAAACAAUUGUGAUUUUCGUAGUCUUAUUUCUUCAAUACUUUAUCAAGAAAAUGCCAAGACACGCGUGGUAACAGUUGCCAUUAAUUACCAACAUAAUAUCAAAUUGAAUUCCACCAAAGUUGUUCAAAAGUCAAAAAUUCCACAUUUUGAUUAAAUCCAUUGUUUCCGUACCCAUUUCUAAUAAUUUCGAAAGUUUAAUACGAAAGAAAUAAAUUAAUAUCAUAUUCUAUUAUCUUUUUCAAAUCUUCAAACAUUGACAUCAACAAUUUAAACCGUUCAUCCGAUUAGACAAAAAGAAGGAAUAUAAAGUGAAAUUUUGCGAUGGAGAGAUUUUGUUCGUUUGGGCGGGAGGGUUUGGAGUUAUUAUUGAUGGAAAGGGUAAUUUGAGUAAAAUUGUAAAGUUGUGGCGGGACGGAAAGAGAUGGGCUGACGUGUUGGUUGUGGACUUCGGAAUGGGUCCAAUGGAUCCAGUCUCCUUCAACUUUGUCGGCCCACAAUACUCUUAACAAUAAUAAUAAUAAUAAUAAUUUAUAUUAUUUGAUUAGAGCAGCCGUACGUCCACAGUAAAAUUAGGGUUGUUUUGUUGCUGUUUAUUAAUUCCAUCCAAUUUUACGUCUCUUUCUAAAACUUCAAUUAACACUCACUAAUUAUGUCAAUUUUAUAAUUGAUUUACUAAAACAUGAGAGAUUUCAAUGUUGAAUCAAUUAAGACUAAUUGUACUGAGAUUUGAAAGGUGACAUUAAUUAUCUAUCUGUUCUUUCCAUCUUGUAAAUGGUAAAUAUGAAAAUAAAGAAUUUAGUGGAAACAAACUUCUAUUUCACACACAUAUAUAUUUGGUAACAAAUUAAAAAAUCGAAUUAUAAUAUAAACAAGAUGUAUCGUAAAAAAUAACAAAGCGACCAAAUUGUACAAAAUCAAGUGUAGUAAGUUUUUGUCGUUUCCUUGUGCUAUGGAUUGUGAAUAGUUUAUUUAUUUUGUAAUCAUUUAAAUAAUGGUGUUUAGAUGCAUUUAUACUAUAUUUAUAAAUAAAUAAAUAAGUUAUAAUUGUGAGAAUUGUCAAAAAUAGCAAAUUUGACAAAAUAUUUACAACAUAUAACAAAAUUUCAAAUUCUACUAAUAAUAAACAUUAAUAGACACUGAUAUGAUUCUAUUAGUGAUAUUGAUAAACAAUUAUAUAAAUUUUUAUCUUGGAUAUAAUCCAAAAUUUUGCUAUAUCUUAUUAAUAUUUUGAUAUUUAAAAAAGUGACUGUCAUAGUUACUCAAUAAAUAUUGAUAUUUAUAAAUAAUAAUGUAUUAUUAAUUUAUUUACCAGCCACGUUAAGUAAUUUUUGUAAUAUCAUAUAAUUUAUAAUACAUGGUAUUUAUAUUUUAAUUGAAAAGAAUAUAUAUUGAGUUUAUAAAGUUCAAAAUUUAAAAUCAUGAUAGAACAAAAUUAUUAUUUGUAGAAACAAAUAUCAACAAAAUGUCAAUAAUUUAAAGAUUAAUGGGGGGUGGUGGUGGUGGUCUGGUUUUGGUAUAUUGUUUAGAAAAAGCCAUUUAUGGGGAAAAUUAAUUGUUAGAAAACAUGGGCUUAUUAGGAAAUAUUUCAACUCUCUUUCUUCCUUCUCAUUUCCCUUAUAUGUAGAGAUGCUUUUUUAUUACACCAACUUUGUGUAUUUGGAUAUAUUUGUUAAUGUAUUAAUUAUUCCAAUCAUUAACAGACAAGUUAAUAGAUAUAUAAAACCAUUCUUGUAUAUAAUAAAAAUGGCUAUAGAGUUUGAAGCAGCCUGAAAAACAUCUCAAGUUUGUAGAAAUUAAAAAAAAGAAAGAAGAAUAAAAACGAUAUUCAUAAUUUCAUAUUAAGAAAAGAUAAUUAAGUAUGGAUGGUCUAUGAGUUGGCCAAUCCAACAAGAGAUAAAUAAAUAAACAAAGGAGAGGCAAAGGGAUUGAUUUUCUUGGAAAUUGGGUAAGUUCAAAACCAACUCAUUCUUUUCCCCAAUCAAUUAUUAUUUAACGUCCCAAUUUCCAAGUUGAUCCAAACUCAAAACACAAAACCAUUAUCAUAUUUAUUAUUUUUGUUCUAAAGUUUAGAGUGUGUGUGUGUGUGACAGUAUAUGAACUGUAUAUUCAUAUCUUCAAAUUUGUAUUCAUAUAUGUUUUAUUUGUGCAGUUUUUUGCUUUCUUUAAUUUGUCAAUUUCACGACACCUUUAGGUUAAGAAAUCAAUGCGUCACACAAACCAAACUAAAAGAAAAGAAAAGAAAAAACUUAUCUUUGAAACAGUCAAAAUAGAAGAUUGAAAUUAUAACAAUAUAGUUUGAUUUAAUUGUCCACUUGAAUGAGAUUAAUUAAGACAUCAUAUUGCAUCCUCAUCUACGUCAACCAAUUAAAGCCCACGUCUUAAAUCGACUAAGAACAUUAAUGAAUUUAAACCAUGAUUAUUGUUUGGAAGAAAACUUCUUAGAAAUUUUUGUAUUGAUAUCUUUUGGAAAGUUAAACACAUAUUGGAAUCUUGUUUUAAUUAUUGUAUAGGAUGAUGUUCAACUUAGGUAUGAACUUUAUCUAAUGUAGUUUAAAGAAUAUGAAAUCCAUAUUUUAAUCAAAUGUGUGUGUGAUCUUAUCCAUAUUUAUAUAAAUAAAAUAAAUGGUCAACUAUAUUGAUCAUUUUUUUUUAAAUUACACAAAUUAAUAAAUAGUUGCAAACAUUGAAACACAUAUCGAAACGUUUUGUAAAUUUAAGAUAUUCUUUAGUAUAAAUCAUACCAUAUAAUGAGAUCGACGUUAUUUAUAAUUUCUUUCAGAUAUAUAUCUAAGAUUACUGUUACAUGUACUUCCAAAAGGAAAAAAAUAAACAACCGUAUUAAUAUUUUGAUAAACUAUUAUAUUGUCUUAACUAGUAGAAAACCAAAAAAAUUUAAUGAGUAUGUAAAAGUAAGAGGUCUAUUGAUCGUAGCAUAUAUGGUUUAUCGUUAAGUUUUAAUUACAAAGUUUGAUAUAAUUUCUUAUAUUAGUUUUUCUACCAAAAAAGAUAGAGAAUUGAUGAACUCAAAGGCUUUGCAGAGUAAUUGGAACGAAAUUAGAGGUUGGAAUUUAAGUAUGACAUCAAAAUGAAUACAUUAAAACCCAUUUUGAGCUUAUAAUCAAUUAAUCUAUGUUCAUAUAUAUAUAUAUACAGAGAGAGAGAGAGAGAGAGAGGAGAGGAGAGAAAGAGUAUGAUAUUUUGGUAUAUAUGAAAGUAACACAUAAUCAAUAAUUGAAUGUAAAAUAAAAUAAUAAAAGUAUGAUUAGGGAAAGAAAAUAAUAAUAUAAACGUUGGGUGGGGGUGGGGUAUCCUAAAACGGGGUUUGAGGAAUUCCACGUGUACCGAAGUGAGGUUGGUUGUAUAGAAAUUCUAUAAAUCCCGGAGUUUGAACAUUUUUGUAACUAAAGAAAAGGAAAAGGAAAAUGAAAGAAUUGAAAGGAAAAGAGAGAAUAUAGUGUAGGAUGAAAUUUUCACAAAGCUUAUAAAAUUAAAAAGAAUUGAAUUAUUGGGUAUCUAUCUCUGCCUCCUCCUUCUCCUUCUCCUUCCCCUUCCCCUUCCCCUUCCCCCCAUCUCUAUCCGGACGAAGCUAUGGGAGCUCUCUCCGAGUUCUUCUCCCACCUCCACACAAUGACCGCAGUCUUCUUCACCCUCUUACUUCUCGAAUUCGUUAUUCUCAUUCGUACCAUCUUCGGCUUAAGACCUAACUCCGACAAGCGCGUAAUCACGACCGCUCAGUUUUUCAAACUCAUCGAAGACAAGAAUCCCACCAUCCGUUUCUCAAAUAAGGUCACCCCAAGUAUCGCCGAUCAGUGUGCCGUUUGCCUCUCUGAAUUCGAGGAAGGAGAGAAGGUACGGAAAUUGCAAUGCAACCACACUUUUCACAAGGAUUGUCUCGAUAAUUGGUUGAAACUCUGUUUCGCUACCUGUCCGCUUUGCCGGAGUAAGGUUUUGCCGGACGAUAUCGUCGCCGGCUACCAUAGGCUUCGAGACCGUGUAGAGUACGACGGCAGUGACGAGGAGCUCAUCUUUUUGUUAUCGGCAUUACAUGGUAACAGUAUAUAUAGAUUUUUCUAGGGCGAAACACCAAUUUUAUUUUGUUUUUAAUCACAGAAUAGAAUUAAACAACAUAGAAUGUUGAUUUUCUGUAGAUUAACUAGGGAAAUAUUGUUUUUCUCCCCUUCAUUGACGAGCAAUAACGUUAAGGGAACAGCUCGUUUCUGGUUCGAUCGAUCUCUCUAGCUAGAUCGAGAUAAAUCUAAAUCGUGUAUGUUUCUCUUUACUUGCAAUUACGCAACCCAACUGUUAGAUGUGUUGUUUGCAUGAUUGCUUCCUACUCUUCUUGGUCAUUCGUCAACGAAUCAUUAAUUUUGGAGACACCCAAUUUACAUCUUGACGGAGACCCUUUUUUUUUUUUUAACCCAAUAACGCACUGAAAUCCUCACUAAAAUCAUCCAAAUCACAACAACUUUUUUCCAUCAGGUUAAACUAAUCCAAAUGAUCUAUUGAGAUCUUUAAGAUAUUGGAUGAUCGUCUAUUAGUCUCUCUUGAUGUGGGCUUGUUGUCUCCGUAGGACCAGGAGUUAUGGUGCGAACUUAAUUCUAUAAUUUUAGUGGAUGCGAGUUGGUGAUCUAAUUUAUGGUUCUCUUACAAUGUAAAUAGAACAUGGUAUGUGAUGGCAUUUAUUAAGAACAUUGAGUGAAAGGAGAAGCAUUCAAAAUUUGAUGGAUUCUCCCUUGAUAUUUUCAUGGGGAUUUAGGUGGAGAUGGUAGGAGAAGGACUUAAUGCUCUGUAUCUAAAUGCACAACAAACUGAUUGAGCUCAUUUUCUCUAUAGUUAAACCCCGAUGGCGAAAGUGAAAACUAAUGGAUUGUGUUUAGCUCACCAGCACAUUUAUCGAAGAAUAGGUUUGCACGUUAAUCGAAAAACUUCAUUUUACACCACUACAACCUAAAGACAAACUUACUAAACACAACAUAUUAACUCUAUACUUAAACAAACUUGAAAUGUUUCUCAUUGGGAUGAUCUGAAACUAAAGCCACAAGCCCCCCUCCCUUUUUUUUUAAUGUUUGGAUCUCGUUACUUCCUCGAAGCUUUUGAAACAGUUUGGAGUUUGUUUUCUUCCACUUUUGAACACCCACCAAAAGAUGAGGGCAACUGAGGACACGGUCUUUAAAGAACAGUGAUUAGGUGAGAUGAGUUGCAUUAUUGAAGUCAGUGUGUUUAACUUUUUAGCAUUACCAGAAUCAGGGGAUGGGUGAAAGAGGAGAAGAAGCAAAGCAAAAACAGGUUUUAGAUGAUGAAGCCAAAUACCUAUUUACUGUUGGUGAGAAUAAGUUUGUCCUAAAUGGGGUUGUGGGAGCUACAGUAGUUCGCAUGAUGUACUGAAUUGUUCUGUAUGUCGGACAAUAGCAAUAAGUUGAAAUGUUAAACAGGCAAAAUCUCGUGGUGGAGCAGCGGAGGGUAAUUCAUAAGAUUUGACAUUUAAUGUCAGAUUCAAAAAAGUGGAUGAACAACUUCAAUAGUAAAGUAAUAGUACCACAAACCAGAAGUAACGCAUAUGGGGGAGAUGAAUCCUUAUCUAUUUUGGAAAUGGGGUUUGUUGUUGGUUUGAUUCAUUCCUUUUUCAAUUUUUCAGGGUUGAAUUUUAUUUGGUGCAUAUCCGUUUCCCUUUUUAACCAUGGAAUAUAUUGCUGAAAAUAAAAAAUAUGACUCUGUUUAGGUCAUGAGUUGGUAAGAAAUUAAGAUGCAACAGAUUCGUUUGGGUAAGAGUAAUAUUUGAUUGAAGAUGUGCGCCCAUUUCUAUGUAUCUCUUUCAAUUACAAAACAAAGAAUGAUUCAAACAAAAUUAAAACAACAUGGGGUAUCCUAAGCAACACAUAUAUAUUCAUCUAAGUGUCCAAUCAUGGAAUAUGCUACGUAUUGUUGUUAUUCCUUUCUUCAAUCGUGGAAUACAUCGUGAAAAUGUUAAAGUGAGCCCUGUCUGUUUAGGUCAUCGGUCAUGAGUUUGGUUAGUAAAGUGCAAUUGAUCUCGUUGAAAAAGAGUAAUGUUAGGGUCAAGUGUUGCAUCUAGUUGUGUAGUUCCUUCAAUUGAUCCAUCAAAAGUUGUCAUGUAAUAAAGUUUCUUUAUUUUUGCUUAAAAAAUUAUUUUAAGCCUCUUUUUGUUUGUGAUGGAAGAAAACAAGUAUAUGUAUACAUACAUUUAUACACGAUAAACUUGUAAUUAAACAUUUGAAAUGCGUCUCACCUGGUGAGUUGAGUUUGAAUUGUGAAGAAAGAAAUAAUUUAAUGAAUUGAUUGAAAGCUACAUUAUAUAUAGGUUGGUUUAUUGAAGUCAUUAAAUAUACAUUAUACAAAGAAGUAAUCUUUUAAAAACACAUGGCCACCACCAACUCCUAUCUGUAAGUUUGGUUCAGGGCUCAAAAUUAGAGACAUUCAGGAUGAUCAACAUCAUCUCUCUCAAUAAAUACAAAUGAUUAUAAGUCGAUUAAAUCUUUCUUUCUACAAUAAGAUAGUUAAAUAAAUGAAUUAAAACUAAUCAUUAUUUUUGCACAUCAAAUCAACCACUAUCACAUUAAAUAAUCAAUAAAUUUGAAGGAAAAAAAAGUCUUAAUCAAUAAAUUUGAAGGAAAAAAAAGUCUUAAUCAAUAAAUUUGAAGGAAAAACAAAGUCUUCGUCAACUUUUAUAAUUGUAAUUUGUGUGGGAGUAUGUAUUUAUAAUAUUUGUCUAAAUAAAAUAACUAUUAAAUUAGCAAGGGUGUUUGAGAUUUAUAGUUGCGUAUUGAUUUUAGAAAAACAAAUUUAAGUACAAUUUUUCUUUUAUAAAAUUGAUAUGAAACUUGUAAACAAAAUUUUUAUAUAUUUAGAAAUGAUUUUGAAUCAUUAUUGUUUAGAUUUUGAAUCAUUAUUGUUAUUAUAUUUUUUGAUUUGAGAAAUAGUUAUGUUAGUAUAUAAUUGUUUGUUUUAUAAAUAAUUUAAUGAUGUACAUUCUUUUAUUCCAAUAUUUUAUAAAAAGAAAACUGAAUUAGACAUCCAUUUUGGGAGUGGUUGAUUGAAAAUCACCCAACAAAAAUUACCAAUAACCUAAUUCGUUUUUUAAACGAUUUUAUAUUUAUUUUAGUUCAUGUCAAACAAGAAAAAGUGAUUUUGGACAAACACAAAAAAGUAUAUAUCUAAAUAUGGUGAUAUGGAUAGUUAUUAUGGCAACCAUGGAUAGAACUUGGAAUCAACUACAACUACAACUUUGGAAACAAAACCAAACCAAAACAAAAUUCAUAAUUCAUUAGAUGAACUUCUUAGUAAAUUAUUUUUAUAUACAUCCGUAUAUAUCCCCAUUAGAUGAUCAAAUUUACACUUUAUAUGAGAUUUAAUGUAGAAAUAGACUUUGGAUGUUCAAAACCUAACUUUUAACAGCUUGGACUUGAAAACAAUGAAUUUGAAAAGUACUUUAAAAAGUAACUUUUCCUUCUUACAAAAAAACCAAACCUAAAUUGACGAAAUUUUGAAUAAAUUAAACCAAAAUGGCCUCUCAGAUAAGACACAAAUGUGUCACCAUAACAACCUUUACCAUCAUUUGAUUUACACUCUUAAUUUCACUUUCACUUUCUUUGAAUGCCACCAAAAUUUCAUAACUAUAUAUCAAUUACAUAAAGAGAUAUCACGACCAUAAUUAUAAUUACGAGUUGAAAAGCUCACAAGGUAAUUUAUUUAAAAUUUUGUCUACGAUUUAAUAUCAAAUAUAAAUAUCAAAUUAUUAUUGAUACCAUCUUAGAUGGUGGAUUGAUCCCAAAUCAUAACUAUGAACAACUAAAUUCAUUGAUUUUUCAAUAUGGGAUCUGAACAGCCUCAUCCAUCCACCAUAUCACAUAUUUAAAAGCACCAACUAAGUGGCCAACUCUCGAUGAUUUCUUGAAAACCAAAUCAUCCAUCUUUUCCCAACAUUCAUAUGGUUAAUUCAAACCCUAUAAUAAUCAUCAAAUCAUAAUACAAUCCCACCCUUCUUCUCUCGAAUUCAAAAGCAUUUCAAAACUAAUAGAAUCCAAAAAAGGAAAAAAGAAAAAAAAAAUGUACAGAUUUGAGAGAGAGAGAGAGAGAGACGAGAAACAUUUACAAUAUAUAUAUAUAUAUAUAAACCCAAUAGAGGAACUCAAGCUGAGAAGAACCCAGUGGAAGCAGCUCGACCAAUUUGAGAUUUGGGUUCAAAAACCCAAUUGAAUUCCGACAUCUCAGCAGAGUAAUUAUGCUUUUUUGCCAUUUCCAUCAUCUUCUUCAUCCUAAUUGAAGUAGCAGUUGCAGAUAUGGAAACCCCAGAAGAACCCAACUCUUGAAGCUCUUGCCUGAUCAUCUCUUGACCUCGCCUUGGAUUCUUCGUCCUCCUCUCGUAUUCCUCUGCUACAAGAAUUGCAAUAUCCGCCAUGGCUGUGAUUUUUCAACUCUCCCUCUUAGUUGAUUUUGAGGAGACCCCUUUAGGAGGAUGACAUAAUUUAUAUUCAGAUUGAGGUAUGAUUGUGGAUAAGGCUGACAAGUCGGUGUAGUGUAUAAAAGAAAUAAAAAAAAGUGACCUUUGAUGACUUAGUCUGGUUUUUUGGGCAUUUUGGUUUUACUUUUUCUAUGGGUGGACCCUUUGUGGAGAAAUUUGAUUGUAUUAUAUUGUAUAUCUAUAAAAUAUACACAUGUAUAUUGUAUUUCAUUGAAGGGUCUUCUUUGAUUGUGCCAAUACCCAAAUAAAGGGGUUUCUUGGCAACAAAGUUGGGAUAGUUGUGUGAAUUAUAAUAGAAUAUAUCAGUAUUUCAAAAUUCUAAUGGAACACGUAUUCUUAAUAAACUUAUAAAGAAUUUACAGAUUGUUAAAUGAUACAAGAAUUGUUAAUUGAGAACAAUGAGAUUAUGUAUAUUGUGAUAGAUAGGAUAGAAAACCUAUCCAUUAUAAUGGAUGUCUUGUGGUGUUUUCAAUGAAGUUGGUGGUGGAAAUUUUGUAGGCAAUAUUCUAGUGGGUUUGGUGGGGGGGAGGAAUGGUAAAAGGCAAUACCAAUAGUUCAGGACUUGUAAAUGAUAAAGAAAAAAAAAAAGAAACCAACUCCACAAUGUUAAUUAUCUCAAACUCUUUCUUAAUAAAUGUCUGUCCUAUUCAACCUUCUCCUUCAAACAAUGAAGAGAGGGUAACUCUUCUUUGCUUUUCAAUAAUAAUAAUAAAAAAAACAUAUCUUUCUUUUGAAGCAAACUAGCAAAAUUGUUGAAAAAAAUAUUGAUAAAUAUAGUCAAAUUUUAUAUAUUUCUUAGUGUAAAAAAUAUGGAAACGGAAAAGCAAAAGGAAAGUGGUUUUUGAGAAUCGGAAAACAGCGAAACUGAGCAAAUGGUUUUGAUCUCAAAAACCAAAACCAUCACCGACAAACGCAUAACACAUCAGAUUCAUGUAACUAAUACGUGUCUAAUUACUAUUUGUUCUUCAAAUUAAUUAUAUAUUUCGUAGUACACAAUACGUGGCAUCAUAUUACUGGUUGUGGGCGGUGACAAGUCCACAGUCCACGCAUUUUCUUUUGUUUACUCUUUUAAAUCAUUCAUGCAUCUUAUUAAUUAGCUUCUAAAUAAUUCAUAAUUUAACCAUAGUAAUCAUAAUAAUGUCAUAAAUUAUACACACAUUUCAAUAAAUUUUAUUAAUGUAAUCAAUUUCAGUGUUUGGCAAAUAAAUUUCACUCUUCCAAUAUAUACCUAUUAAUAAUGAAUUUGAUUGGAGUUUUUCUAGUGCAUUAUUCUAUCCUUGUGAUAUUUAGAAGCACAUAUUUUAUAAUUAGGUUAUUCUUAAUGGAAAGUAAACUAAUGUAGUCAUAGUUAGUACUUAGUAAUUAGGCUGCAACUUACCCACUUGUUUAUAAAUCGAUGGUAAUUUUAGUUAGUGUAUUUCAUUUUAUUACACUUUUUUUUAAUCUAUAUUUCGUAAUCCUAUGAAAAUAAUGAGUUCACCUUGAAUUGAAAAAUUGAGAGUACUCAAUUGGACUGCAUUUGAGAUUUAUGUGAAACUCACUUUCGUUAUUGUUACUAUCACGAUAUUAAUUAGAAUUAUGAUAAAUGUUAUAUUCUUAGUUAUUGUUAUUCGGUAACAAUAACUAGUGAUAAAUUAUGUAUAGCAAGAUUGUAACUAUAGAUGCGAUAACUCGUAAUUGAAACUCAUUUCAAUUGAUUCAUUAAUAAAAUUUCAUUUUUAAAAAAUAAUAAAACUUUUUUUAUUAUGGUUUGGUAAACAUAACUCUAAUGUUAUAACAACUUUCUUUACAUCUCGAUUACAAUAACCAAUUUAGGCGAACAUAUUCCAGUCAAAACUUGAUCUUUUUAUAAUAAAAAUCCUAAGGAAAGUCCACUUUUAAAAUGCUAAGAUGUGCUUAAUAUUUACAAAAGUGUCGUUUUAAAAGAAUUGAAUUAUCUAUCGACUCAUCAGCAAGAAUCUCAUACUUAUCACCAUCCAGUUCUUGACAAAUGGGAGAUAAGAAUGAGAAAUAUAUAUAUAUAUAUAUAUAUAUAUAUACCUGCAGGCCAAGGGAGGUUUAGUUAUUUUUAAAAAGAAUGAUAAAAAUGUGCCUAAGAAAGAGGAAGACGGAAGUGAUAGUAGAAAACUCACAAAUAUAAUAUACUUUAUACUCAGUAAGAGAAACGUUAAAAGCAUAUUAAUUUGGAGACAUUUGUCAGUUUUGAUUGUAGGUAUUCAAAUUCGUUCCCAUUCCCUUUCCUCAAACGGAUAAGACGAAAGAAAGUAAGAAAGAUCACGAGCUUCAUCAAGCUAGCCAUUCUAAGAAUACAGAAGAAAAGGCUGAGGGUGUCACACAUCUGAGAGCAUAUGUAUAGGACUUUCUUGGUCCAAAGUAACUUGUAGUAAGUGCAACUGAGCAGCAAAAGCAUAUGGUGAGUUCAAGCUUCAACAGGUGCUCUUCUGGGCAAAGUGAAAAACUGACACAUUUCAUCUCAUAAAAGGCCAAGAGUUUUGAGCUGUUGAACGUGCUCUGCAGGAAGUGGUGGAGG